UUUCGGACGGAGGGAAUACAUAUGCACUAACGCUAGCAACCUCGCUUACAAACUCUUCUGGAUUUUGCACCUAAAAACAGGGAACAGAUAUAAUAAUUAUUUUAACUGUUCAUGGUUCUAAGAAGUCAGUCCUCGCUUGCAGCCUCUCAACACCAACAAUAACCAGCACAAUUUCUUCUAUCUACUUGAAUAACUAACGAGAAGCUGUCACAGGGGAGAUAGCUGGCCCCGUGUUACAUGAAAAUAUGUGCAGAAAAAAAGACCUAUAAUCAUCGCCGGAUACAUGAUAGUACUCUCUAAUCUGAAGAAACAGAAAGAACUUUGCCUACCUUGCCAAAUGCCAACAAGGGAACUGCUGAAAACUAAUACUAUUGGACAUAAAAGAAGGGAGGCGGAUAGAAAUAUAUGUCAGCUUCGUAAUGAACACUUUUUCUGAGAAUGCCCAAGAAGAUGACACCAGCCACACUGAACGAUCCGUUUCGGCCGUUUCAAGCUUUCCAUCUUGAGAAUCUUCAUUUUGGGACGGCCAGGAGGUCUUCGGAUCUUCGGUGGGCGAAGUAUCAUGUCUGAUUUGUAUAGACCUCGCGGCCCAGAGGACGAAUUGCUCCAGUGGAUCCUGUCUGGAAUUGGAUAGAUCUGCUGAGAGUAAGUUUCCCUAUACUUCAUUACACUAAAGCAAUCAUGUGCAUACAGGCGAGGAUCUUCACCACAUGAAAGUAGUGCAGCAGCAGCAUGUGCACAUGGAAUACCAUAAAUUUGCCACCGACGGCACGAGCAGAACCUGGUUUGAGUAUCCACAAUGUUUGUUCGCUCAGAUGACACGAUCUCAAACUCCACCUUGUUUGCUCGGAGUACUUGAUAACAUCUUGAAUCAGAAAUGGAUUCAGAAAUAAGUUUCUCAGCAGAUGGAACAAGAACUGAGUUAAGGGAUAAUGCCAAAUUGUGACGUUCAGUAAACCAGCAGGUUAGUUGGUGCCUGAUGUAUUCAACAGUUUGCACAAUGGGAAGCUCAUGACACUCCAGGGCCCAGUUAUAUAAUAUCUCAGUUAUAGCAAGACUAAAAUGGCCAUAUCUGAUACCCUCAAAGUAAGCAACUGCCCAGAGGUUUGGUGGAAAAUUCUGGAACCAUGGCAUGACAUCUUGAACUUGCAUCAUAUCUUUUACCUUUGAAUCAAAUUCUGCUGUUGUGAGAGCAUAAACGGCACCCCAGAAAAGGUUCAGAAGUUUAGGACUCUUGAACUCCUCGCGGAAAUUCUCACUCACAUGUCUCAAGCAAAAUCCAUGAAAAGCAGUUGGGAAGUUGACCUCGACAGCUUCAACCACCUGUGGUUGUCUCUCAGAGAUUAUUGUAAAGACAGGCAUCUUAUCCGUGUUAACACCAAGCAUCUUCCUCAGUUCUGAGAUAAACCACAUCCAGUUCUCAUCACUUUCAGAAUCAACGACACCAAAUGCUACAGGGAACAUCAUGUGAUCAGCAUCAACAGCCGAAGCACAUAGCAAUGUCCCAAGAUACUUGCCCUUUAGAUCCGCCUUGUCAAUUUCCAAAAGGGGUCUACACGCAUUUAAGAAACCAUAAAUAGAUGAAUGAAAUGAAACAAAGAGCCGUUGGAAGGAAUUCUCCGGCCCAGCCCCUUUGUAUACUGCAACACUACCAGGAUUUGUCUUUCCAAUCUGCUCACAGUAUGCAGGAAGAAGGCGAUAUCCAUCCUCAAGGGUACCAUGAACAGCAGCCAUGCUUCUCUCCUUUCCGCGCCAUGCCUGCAUAUAAGACACAGCAACCCCAUGCUGGUCCCGAAUAUCCUGCAAUAUCUCUUUUGGCUUAAUCUGCGGAUUAUCUCUUAGCCUUGCCUCAACAGACCUAGCCACCCAGUUAACAGUGGCCUGUUGAUGAUGUAGGUCCUGAACACCCUCACAUGUGUGCUCUCCUUGCAAUGUCCGGACCGUGAAAGUUGGAACACCAUGGCACUUGGCCACAUGCACACGCCACGGGCAUCCUUCUGUGUUGCAUUUGGCAAUGAAUCGGCUACGGUCCGAUUUCACGACGCGCAGCUGGAAAUGCAGAGCAACGGCCAUAUCCUUGAUUGCCCUCCGGCAAGUGUCAACAUCGGUAAACUCUUGGCCGAUGAAAAGGAAUUGCUCACACGGUACAGGGUCCUUCUCUGGCUCGACUAAGAUCUGGUCUUCAUCCCCCUCAACUAGAACAUCGCCAUCUUCCACCUGAACUAAAACCUGAUUUUCCUCGGCCUGAACUAAAGCAUGACUGUCUUCCGCACAAACUAAAGCCUGACUGUCUUCCGCACGAACUAAAGCCUGACUGUGUUCCGCAUGAACUAAAGCCUGACUGUCUUCCGCAUGAACUAAAGCCUGGCUGUCCUCCAUAAUUGAGCAGCUCAACAGGCGGAUAAAAUUACUUUACUCUGAGUGAUAAAAACAUCAGGCAACUCAAUAGUGACGGAAAAGAUUUUGCUCCACACCUCCAGAAGCUGCCCUGCAAAUAUUAGCACAACCACAUAGCUGUUAACGAGAGAAAGAGUCAUUCCAGUGGUACAAGAAGUAACAGUAUCAGCACAAGCACGUAAUUCACUAACGCGAGAAAGAGCCCAUCAAGCGGCACACCACCCCUCCCCAACCCUAUUUUUUGGGAGGAAACCUGAAUCUGCACGCUGGCUUGUGCAAGUCGUACGGCGUGAGGCGUGGACUGAGACCGAUCUCGCGCGCCGAAGAAGAGAAAAAUCUAAUCUUAUGAGCCAUGGAAAAUACGGGGUGGAUCUAGACGUUGUGGCGGGUGAGCACCCCAAAUUUGUGGAGGUUAGUUUGGGAUUAAGAGCAAGCACUGGAUGACUAGAAAGCUCGUACCUGAAAAAUCAAUGUUCAAGGCNNNNNNNNNNNNNNNNNNNNNNNNNNNNNNNNNNNNNNNNNNNNNNNNNNNNNNNNNNNNNNNNNNNNNNNNNNNNNNNNNNNNNNNNNNNNNNNNNNNNNNNNNNNNNNNNNNNNNNNNNNNNNNNNNNNNNNNNNNNNNNNNNNNNNNNNNNNNNNNNNNNNNNNNNNNNNNNNNNNNNNNNNNNNNNNNNNNNNNNNNNNNNNNNNNNNNNNNNNNNNNNNNNNNNNNNNNNNNNNNNNNNNNNNNNNNNNNNNNNNNNNNNNNNNNNNNNNNNNNNNNNNNNNNNNNNNNNNNNNNNNNNNNNNNNNNNNNNNNNNNNNNNNNNNNNNNNNNNNNNNNNNNNNNNNNNNNNNNNNNNNNNNNNNNNNNNNNNNNNNNNNNNNNNNNNNNNNNNNNNNNNNNNNNNNNNNNNNNNNNNNNNNNGGGAACGGCCGGGGACGGGCGGCGGUGUCGGACGGCGGCAGCCCUAGGGCACAGCGGUGGUACAGAAGAGAUUUUAGUUACAGUAUUGGGUCGGACGGAGGAGGAAGAAAGGAUAACGGAAGAAGGGGACAUGGGGGCGACGAUUUUUUGACGGCCCGGAUUGUUCACUGGCAUGCCUAACGGUGGAUGGAGAGAUUUUACCGUCGGGGAGAGAUGGACCGGCGAGCAUCUCCAACAACAUAUAUUGGAAAAAGGGAUUUUAUCAUUUAUGUCAUCGGUUGUGUCUCACUACUCAGUUUUGCCAUUAAAAAUUACAACUGCUCAAAAGUGUCAUCGAUCUGUGAGAUGCUUGCUUAAAAAUGCCAUUAGAUAUCUAAAAAAUGCCAUCGUUCCAUUAGAUGUUUACUCAAAAAUGUCAUUAGACAUUAUUAUUUUCACGUUAAACCCGUUGACCAUGUUAUAUGACAAAAAUAAGCCUAGACUCACAUGUCAGUUCUCUCUAUCUCACAGUGAUAAGUGUGGCCCCACUUGUCAGGACUAACCAAGCGAAUAAUUUUACAAGAAAAUAAGAAUGUUGUUGGGAUCAAGUGAGCCCCAUACUUUAUUGUAGUGAGAUAGAGGGAGAGCUGGCAUGUUGGUUCAUAGGUACUUAUGUCAUUUAACAUGGCAAAAGAUUUGAGAUCACAAUAAUGGUGUUCAAUGGCAUUUUUGAGCAUGUGUCUAACGAAGCGAUGGCAUUUUUGAGCAAUUAAAAAUUCUGAUGGGGAACGUAGCAUGCAAUUUAAAAAAAUUCCUACGAUCACGCAAGAUCUAUCUAGGAGAUGCAUAGCAAAGAGACGGGAGAGUGUGUCCACGUACCCUCGUAGACCGAAAGCGGAAGAGUUUAGUAACGCGGUUGAUGUAGUCGAACGUCUUCACGAUUCAACCGAUCCAAGUACCAAACAUACGGCACCUCCAUGUUCAGCACAUGUUCAGCACGAUGACGUCCCUCGUCCUCUUGAUCCAGUUGAGGACGAGGGAGAGUUCUGUCAGCACCACGGCGUGGCGACAGUGUUGAUGAUGUUACCGGCGCAGGGCUUCGCCUAAGCACUACGAUGAUAUGACCGAAGUGUUAAACUGUGGAGGGGGGCACCACACACGGCUAAGAGAUUGUCUGUUGUGCUUUGGGGUGCCCUCCUGGCCACGUAUAUAAAGGAGGGAGGGAGGAGGCCGGCGGCCUAGGAGGGACACGCCAAAAGGGGGGAGUCCUACUAGGACUCCCUAGUCUUAGUAGGAUUCCCCUUCCCUUUCCUUUCCGGAAUAGGAGAAGAGGGAAAGAGGUGGAGUAGACGGAGGAAAGGGGGGGCCUCACCCCUAGUCCAAUUCGGUUUGGGCUAGGGGGAUGCGCAUCUCCACCUGACCGCUGCCUCCUCUCUUCCACUAGGGGGGCACGACGAACUGUAGCAACGGUGCAUACUCAGGGAGAACACUUAUACCUUGAAAUUUAGUGAGGGGUCAUCUUAUAAUGCUACCGUCGUAUUAAGCAAAAUAAGAUGCAUAAAAGCUAAACAUCAAAUGCAAUCAAAAUAUGUGACAUGAUAUGGCCAUCAUCAGCUUGUGCUCAUGAUCUCCAUCACCGAAGCAUCGUCACGAUCUCCAUCAUCACCGGCUUGACAUUUUGAUCUCCAUCGUAGCAUCAUCGUCGUCUCGCCAACUAUUGCUACUACGACUAUCGCUACCGCUUAGUGAUAAAGUAAAUAAAUUACAUGGCGAUUGCAUUUCAUACAAUAAAGCGACAACCAUAUGGCUUCUGUCAGUUGCCGAUAGCUCUGUUACAAAACAUGAUCAUCUCAUACAACAAUUUAUAUCUCAUCAUGUCUUGACCAUAUCACAUCAUAGCAAGCCCUGCAAAAAUAAGUUAAACAUCCUCUACUUUGCUGUUGCAAGUUUUACGUGGCUGCUACGGGCUUCUAGCAAGAACCGUUCUUACCUACGCAUCAAAACCACAACGAUGUUUCGUUAAGUGUGUUGUUUUAACCUUCAACAAGGACCGGUCGUAGUCAAACUCGAUUCAACUAAAGUUGGAGAAACAGACACUCGCCAGCCACCUAUGUGCAAAAGCACGUCGGUAGAACCAGUCUCAUGAAUGCGGUCAUGUAAUGUCAGUCCGGGCCGCUUCAUCCAACAAUACCGCCGAAUCAAAGUAAGACUUUGGUAGUAAGCAGUAUGACUAUUAUCGCCCACAGCUCUUUGUGUUCUACUCGUGCAUAAAACAUCUACGCAUAGACCUGGCUCGGAUGCCACUGAUGGGGAAUGUAGCAUGCAAUUUUAAAAAAAAAUCCUACGAUCACGCAAGAUCUAUCUAGGAGAUGCAUAGCAACGAGAUGGGAGAGUGUGUCCACGUACCCUCGUAGACUGAAAGUGGAAGCGUUUAGUAACGCGGUUGAUGUAGUCGAACAUCUUCAUGAUUCAACCGAUCCAAGUACUGAACGUACGGCACCUCCGUGUUCAGCACACGUUCAACACGAUGACGUCCCUCGUGCUCUUGAUCCAGUUGAGGACGAGGGAGAGUUCCAUCAGCAUGAUGGCGUGGCGACGGUGUUGAUGAUGUUACCGGCGCAUGGCGACGGUGUUAAACUGUGGAGGGGGGCACCGCACACAGCUAAGAGAUUGUCUGUUGUACUUUGGGGUGCCCUCCUGGCCACGUAUAUAAAGGAGGGAGGGAGGAGGCCGGCGGCCUAGGAGGGGCGCGCCAAAAGGGGGGAAUCCUACUAGGACUCCCUAGUCCUAGUAGGAUUCCCCUUCCCUUUCCUUUCCGGAAUAGGAGAAGAGGGAAAGAGGUGGAGGAGAAGGAGGAAAGGGGGGGGGGCGCCCCCACCCCUAAUCCAAUUCGGUUUGGGAUAGGGGGGGCAUGUGCCUCCACCUGGCCGCUGCCUCCUCUCUUCCACUAAGGCCCAUGAAGGCCCAUUAAUUCCCCGGGGGGAUCCGUUAACCUAUCGGUACUCCAGAAAAUGUCUGAACCUUUCUAAAACCUUUCCGGUGUUCGAACAUAACCUUCAAAUAUAUCAAUCUUUAUGUCUCGACCAUUUCAAGACUCCUCGUCAUGUCCGUGAUCUCAUUUGAGGCUCCGAACAAACUUCGGUCAUCAAAUCACAUAACUCGUAAUACAAAUGGUCAUCGAAUGUUAAGCGUGCGAACCCUACGGGUUCGAGAACUAUGUAGACAUGAUCGAGACACAUCUCCAAUCAAUAACCAAUAGCGGAACCUAGAUGCUCAUGUUGGUUCCCACAUAUUCUACGAAGAUCUUUAUUGGUCAAACCGCAUAACAACAUACGUCAUUCCCUUUAUCAUGGGUAUGUUACUUGCCCGAGAUUCGAUCAUCGGUAUCAUCAUACCUAGUUCAAUCUCGUUACUGGAAAGUCUCUUUACUUGUUCCGUAAUGCUUCAUCCCACAACUAACUCAUUAUUCACAUUGCUUGCAAGGCUUAUAGUGAUGAGCAUUACCGAGAGGGCCUAGAGAUACCUCCCCGAUACACGGAGUGACAAAUUCUAAUCUCGAUCUAUGCCAACCCAACAAACACCUUCGGAGACACCUAUAGAGCAUCUUUAUAAUCACACAGUUACGUUGUGACGUUUGAUAGCACACAAGGUGUUCCUCCGGUAUUCGGGAGUUGCAUAAUCUCAUAGUAAGAGGAACAUGUAUAAGUCAUGAUGAAAGAAGUAGCAAUAAAACUGUAACGAUCAUAAUGCUAAGCUAACGAAUGGGUCUUGUCCAUCACAUCAUUCUCUAAUGAUAUGAUCCCGUUCAUCAAAUGACAACACAUGUCUACGGUCAGGAAACAUAACCAUCUUUGAUUAACGAGCUAGUCAAGUAUAGGCAUACUAGGGACACUUUGUUUUGUCUAUGUAUUCACACAUGUACUAAGUUUUCGGUUAAUACAAUUCUAGCAUGAAUAAUAAACAUUUAUCAUGAUACAAGGAAAUAUAAAUAACAACUUUAUUAUUGCCUCUAGGGCAUAUUUCCUUCAGUCUCCCACUUGCACUAGAGUCAAUAAUCUAGUUCACAUCACCAUUUGAUUUAACAUUAAUAGGUCACAUCUAUAAGUGAUUAACACCCAUAUAUAGUUCACAUCGCCAUGUAACCAAUAACUAAAGGGUUCACUAGAGUCAAUAAUCUAGUUCACAUCGCUAUGUGAUUAACACCCAAAGAGUACUAAGGUGAGAUCAUGGUUUUCUUGUGAGAGAAGUUUAGUCAACGGGUCUGCCAUAUUCAGAGCCGUAUGUAUUUUGCAAAUUUUCUAUGUCUACAAUGCUUUGCAUGAAGCUACUCAAGGUAUGUACUCAUUGAAAAAUCUUAUUGGGCGUAUUGAUCUAACUCUAUAGAUCUUGAUGCCCAAUAUGCAAGCAGCUUCACUGAGGUCUUUCUUUGAAAAACUCUUUUCAAACUCUCCUUUAUGCUUUCCAGAAAAUUCUACAUCAUUUUCGAUCAACAAAAUGUCAUUCACAUAUACUUAUUAGAAAGGCUGUAGUGCUCCCACUCACUUUCUUGUAAAUACAGGCUUUACCACAAGUCUGUAUAAAACUGUAUGCUUUGAUCAAAUCAUCAAAGCGUAUAUUCCAACUCCGAGAUGCUUGCACUAGUCCAUUGAUGGAUCGCUGGAGCUUGCACAACUUUUUAGCACUUUUUAGGAUCGACAAAACCUUCUGGUUGCAUCAUAUACAACUCUUCUUAGAAAUAUCCAUUUAAGGAAUGCAGUUUUGACAUCCAUUUGCCAGAUUUCAUAAAAUGCGAUAAUUGCUAACAUGAUUCAAACGGAUUUAAACAUCGCUAUAGGUGAGAAAAUCUCAUUGUAGUCAACACCUUGAACUUGUCGAAAACCUUUUGCAACAAGUCGAGCUUUGUAGAUAGUAACACUACUAUCAGUGUGUGUCUUCCUCUUGAAGAUACAUUUAUUUUGUAUGGCUUGCCGAUCAUCAGGCUAGUCCAUCAAAGUCCACACUUUGUUCUCAUACAUGGAUCCCAUCUCAGAUUUCAUGGCCUUGCUACCUCUUGAGCAUGCGUUGGUUUUUCCCUUGAAGAGGAAAGGGUGAUGCAGUAAAGUAGCGUAAGUAUUUCCCUCAGUUUUUGAGAACCAAGGUAUCAAUCCAGUAGGAGGCUACACGCAAGCCCCUCGUACCUACACAAAUAAAUAAGAACCUUGCAACCAACGCGAUAAGGGGUUGUCAAUCCCUUCACGACCACUUGCAAAAGUGAGAUCUGAUAGAGAUAAUAAAUAUUUUUGGUAUUUUUAUGAUGUAGAUUGGAAAGUAAAGAUUGCAAAAUAAAGUAGAUCGGAAACUUAUAUGAUGGAAAAUAGACCCAGAGGCCAUAGGUUUCACUAGUGGCUUCUCUCAAGAUAGCAUAAGUAUUACGGUGGGUGAACAAAUUACUGUCGAGCAAUUGAUAGAAAAGUGCAUACUUAUGAGAAUAUCUAGGCAUGAUCAUGUAUAUAGGCAUCACGUCCGCGACAAGUAGAUCGAAACGAUUCUGCAUGUACUACUAUUACUCCACACAUCGACCGGUAUCCAGCAUGCAUCUAGAGUAUUAAGUUCAUAAGAACAGAGUAACGCAUUAGGCAAGAUGACAUGAUGUAGAGGGAUAAACUCAAGCAAUGUGAUAUAAACCCCAUCUUUUUAUCCUGGAUGGCAACAAUACAAUACGUGCCUUGCUGCCCCUGCUGUCAUUGGGAAAGGACACCGUAGGAUUGAACCCAAAGCUAAGUACUUCUCCCAUUGCAAUAAAGAUCAAUCUAGUAGGCCAAACUAAACUGAUAAUUCGAAGAGACUUGCAAAGAUAACAAAUCAUACAUAAAAGAAUUCAGAGGAGAUUCAAAUAUUGUUCAUAGAUAAUCUUGAUCAUAAACCCACAAUUCAUUGGAUCUCGACAAACACACCGCAAAAAGAAUUACAUCGCAUAGAUCUCCAAGAAGAUCGAGGAGAACUUUGUAUUGAGAAUCAAAGAGAGAGAAGAAGCCAUCUAGCUAAUAACUAUGGACCCGAAGGUCUGUGGUAAACUACUCACACUUCAUCGGAGAGGCUAUGGCGUUGAUGUAGAAGCCCUCCGUGAUCGAUUCCCCAUCCGGCGGAGCGCAGGAAAAGGACCUGUGACGCCCCCGAUUCAAUCGUACACUAAUCAUGCACGCAAAUGUGUACGAUCAAGAUCAGGGACUCACGGGAAGAUAUCACAACACAACUCUAAAACAUAAAAUAAGUCAUACAAGCAUCAUAAUACAAGCCAGGGGCCUCGAGGGCUCGAAUACAAGUGCUCGAUCAUAGACGAGUCAGCGGAAGCAACAAUAUCUGAGUACAGACAUAAGUUAAACAAGUUUGCCUUAAGAAGGCUAGCACAAACUGGGAUACAGAUCGAAAGAGGCGCAGGCCUCCUGCCUGGGAUCUUCCUAAACUACUCCCGGUCGUCAUCAGCGGGCAGCACGUAGUAGUAGGCACCUCCAGUGUAGUAGGGGUCGUCGUCGACGGUGGCGUCUGGCUCCAGGGCUCCAGCAUCUGGUUGUGACAACCAGAAAGAAAGGAAAAGGGGAAAAAGGGGGGAGAAAGCAACCGUGAGUACUCAUCCAAAGUACUCGCAAGCAAGGAACUACACUACAUAUGCAUGGGUAUAUGUGUAAGGAGGCCAUAUCAGUGGACUGAACUGCAGAAUGCCAGAAUAAAGGGGGAUAGCUAGUCUUAUCGAAGACUACGCUUCUGGUCACCUUCGUCUUGCAACAGGCAGAAGAGGGUAGGUCGAAGUCCUCCAAGUAGCAUCUCCAAGUAACAUCUCCAAAUAGCAUCUCAUAGCAUAAUCCUACCCGGCGAUCCCCUCCUCAUAUCCCUGAGGUAGAGCGACCACCGGUUGUAUCUGGCACUUGGAAGGGUGUGUUUUAUUAAGUAUCCGGUUCUAGUUGUCAUAAGGUCAAGGUACAACUCCAAGUCGUCCUGUUACCGAAGAUCACGGCUAUUCGAAUAGAUUAACUUCCCUGCAGGGGUGCACCACAUAACCCAACACGCUUGAUCCCAUUUGGCCGGACACACUUUCCUGGGUCAUGCCCGGCCUCGGAAGAUCAACACGUCGCAGCCCCACCUAGGCAAAACAGAGAGGCCAGCACGCCGGUCUAAACCUAAGCGCACAGGGGUCUGGGCCCAUCGCCCAUAGCACACCUGCACGUUGCAUGGGCGGCCGGAAGCAGAACUAGCCCCCUUAAUACAAGAGCAGGCUUACGUUCCAAUCCGGCGCGCGCCGCUCCAUCGCUGAUGUCUGAAGUGCUUCGGCUGAUACCACGACGCCGGGAUACCCAUAACUACUCCCACGUAGAUGGUUAGUGCGUAUAGGCUCGUAGCCGACUCAGAUCAAAUACCAAGAUCUCGUUAAGCGUGUUAAGUAUCCGCGAACGCCGAACAGGGCCAGGCCCACCUCUCUCCUAGGCGGUCUCAACCUGCCCUGUCGCUCCGCCUCAAAGAUCCACACAGAGGGCCGUCGGGACAAAGGUCCUUUCAGCCCCCAAUCAGUGAAUCACUCGCGGGUACUCUUCGAGCUGACCCGACUUUAGUCACCAUCUAUAUAGUAUGUAUGUAUGUAUAGUAUAUACCCGUGAUCACCUCCCGAGUGAUCACGGCCCAAUAUUAUAGCAAGGCAGACUGACACGAAUGUGGGGCCAACAAUGAUAAACUAGCAUCCUAUACUAAGUAUUUAGGAUUGCAGGUAAGGUAUCAACAGAUGUAGCAACAAUGUCAGGCUAUGCAUCAGAAUAGGAUUAACGGAAAGCAGUAACAUGCUACACUACUCUAAUGCAAGCAGUAUAGAGUAGAAUAGGCGAUAUCUGGUGAUCAAGGGGGGGGCUUGCCUGGUUGCUCUGGCAAGAGAGAGGGGUCGUCAACUCCGUAGUCGAACUGGGCAGCAGCAGCGUCGGUCUCGUAGUCUACCGGAGAGAAGAGGGGGAAGAAAUAAUGAAUACAAUGCAAACAAAUGCAUAUCGAUGCAUGACUUGACAAGUAACGAUGCUAGGUGUGCCCAAUCGCGGUAGUAGGUGAUACCGACGAAGGGGGGAAACAUCCGGGAAAGUAUUCACGGUGUUUCGCGUUUUCGGACAAAUGAACCGGAGGGGGAAAGUUGCGUGUUUGGUAUGUUAGAGGUGUGUGGUGGACGAAUGGGCUGCGUAUCCGGGUUCGUCUCGUCGUUCUGAGCAACUUUCAUGUAGAAAGUAUUUUCAUCCGAGUUACGGAUUAAAAGAUAUGAUUUUCUAAAGAUUUAAAUCAUUUUCUGAUUUUAUUUAGUUAUUUAAUUCCAACAUUAUCCAAAACAGUGAAUGAUGACGUCAGCAUGACAUCAGAGUGAUGUCAGCAGGUCAACUGGUCAGUUGACCAGUCAAACCAGACAGGUGGGUCCAGUGGGACCCACAUGUCAUUGUCAGGGAUAUUAACAGAAUUCUAAAACUAACUAAAUUGGGUUAAUUAGUGGGUGGGGCCCGGUAGUCAGUGAGAGAUUAGUGUUUAAUUAAUUAAUUUAAUUAAUUAGCAAUUUAUCUAUUUAUUUUUAUUCAUUUUAAGACAUGGGGCCCGCAUGUCUGUGGCAGUGGCUGCCACAUCAGCGUAGUUGACCCGGUCAACUUGGCCAGUUGGGGCCCCAGGCCCACAGGCAGUGACCCAGGGGGUGGACCCCACGCAUGCCACAUCAGCCGGCCGGCGUUUAGACGCCGGCGAGUCCGUUUUCGCGGCGGCGCGGCUCGGGAUAGUGGCGGGUUUCGCCCAUAGGGCACCAAACCGAGCGGGACCGGUCGCGUUCGAACGGCAAGACGACGGCGAAGUGAGUGGGGGUGGUUGUAGAGGCGGUGGUGGCCGGAGUCGAGCGCCACGAGCUCGUCGGCGGUGAGGUGGUUCGGGCGCGAAAUGAAGAUGGCGACACCGCGCGCUUCGGGGCUAACGGGAAGGCCAGGGGGAGCUGCGCGACGCACUGAGCACAAAGGACUCGGCCCCGUGACCAUUUGGUCACCGGAAGGGCGCCGGCGACGCGUGCAGGCGGCGGCGCGGUCGGGUGCUUCGGCGGUAGCUAGCUAGGGCACCGUGAGGCGAAGAAGGAGAGGGGGAGAGGACGGAGUGGAGCUCAUCGAGCGGUCAAGAAAGACCCGUGGUGGCUUAGGAGCAGCAGAGCUCGCCGGGGAGGAAGGGGAUCGCCGGCGGCCGUCAAGGAAGCAGACGACUCGAUCCGUGGCCUGCGGUGCUCCUCGAGCUCGAUGGCGAGGCGUAGCCGAAGUAGAGGUCGUCGACGCGUCUCGCGGACGUGCUAGCGAGGCGCGGGGUGGCCGGUGGCUGCGGUUAUGGCGCAGCCAUGGCGACGGCGGCGCUCGGUUACGGAGGGGAACGAAGGGAAGCGCGGUGGAUCUGAGGGGGAAGGCGCAAGGACCGAGGGGAGAGUGGGGGCGAGUGGGAGGAGAGACCGAGGGGCGCGGCGUCGGCGUCCUUAUCCCCUCGCCUCGUCGCCGGCGAGGUGGGUUCGGCUGGGACGUGCCCUGUUCCGACCCGGGUCGGGGGAACAGGGGAAGGGGACGCGGUGCGGGGGCUGGGCCGGCUGGGCCGGCCAGUCUGGCUGCGGGCCAGGGGGAUUGGGCGGUGGCCGUGCGGGUGGGUUGGGCUGCCUGGUCCAGGGGGCUUCCCCCCCCCUUUUUUUGGUUUUUUUAUUUAUUUUCCCUUUCUGUUUUAUUUAGUUUUAGGGCAUCUAGGCAUUUGAUAAAAUAGUGUUUGCUUCACCAUAAUUACCAGUGCAAUAUUUGGCAACCCCCGAACAUUUUCGCUUUGACUUUUGAAAACUUAGGGUGUUUGACACUAAUUCAUAUUUUGAAUUAGCAAUGAUUUUGAACUACCACUUGGUUAGCAACAGUAACACUGGUGACAUGGCAUCAUUAUAAGAGUUUUACUGUAGCCUAAUUAUCCGGGCGUUACAAAUCUCCUCCACUACAAGAAAUCUCGUCCCGAGAUUUAGGAGGUAGAAGGAAACAAUGCGGGGUAUUCAUCACGCAGGCGAUCCUCAUGUUCCCAGGUGGCUUCAUCUUCAGAAUGGUGCGACCACUGGACUUUGAGGAACUUGAUCGCCUGCUGGCGUGUGCGGCGUUCAGCUUGGUCGAGAAUGCGGACCGGAUGCUCUUUAUAGGAGAGGUCCUGUUGCAAUUCGAGCACUUCAUGAUCCACUGCUCGGAUUGGGUCCUUGAAGCAGCGACGGAGCUGCGACACGUGGAACACAUCGUGAACCUGAGAAAGGUUCGACGGAAGCUCCAGUUGAUAUGCCACUUUUCCACGCCUCUCGAGAAUAGUGAAUGGGCCAAUAUAGCGAGGAGCUAGCUUGCCCUUGAUCCCGAAGCGGUGAGCACCCUUCAUUGGUGUAACGCGAAGAUAGGCCUUUUCGCCAGGUUGAUAGACCAUGUCUUUAUGAUGACGGUCAUAAUUACUCUUUUGGCGUGACUGAGCAGUCUUGAGAUUCUCGCGAAUAAUGCGGACUUGCUCUUCGGCAUGUUGGAUAAUAUCCGGACCGAAGAGUGGACGUUCCCCAGUUUCUGACCAGUUCAGAGGGGUUCGGCACUUUCGUCCAUAUAACACUUCGAAGGGGGCCAUCUUCAGACUAGCUUGAUAGCUAUUAUUAUAAGAGAACUCAGCAUACGGGAGAGAUUCCUCCCAUUUCUUGCCGAAGGAUAUAACACAAGCUCGAAGCAUGUCUUCGAGAACUUGGUUGACACGUUCAACUUGCCCUUGUGACUGAGGAUGAAAAGCAGUGCUGAAAGACAGAUGAGUGCCCAUAGCUUCUUGGAAACUUGCCCAGAAUCUUGAAGUGAAUAAACUGCCACGGUCUGAACUGAUAACCAGUGGAAUACCGUGAAGCGAAACAAUUCUGGACAUGUAGAGAGUUGCAAGCUGACUAGCAGUGAUCGAUUCUUUGACCGCCAGAAAAUGUGCAACCUUAGAAAGUCGGUCAAUGACGACAAGAAUAGCAUCAUUACCCUUUUGCGAUUUGGGAAAUCCAGUAACGAAGUCCAUCUCGACAUGGUCCCAUUUCCAUUCAGGAAUAGAUAUAGGUUGCAGAGUUCCAGCAGGCCUUUGAUGUUCUGCUUUGAUACGACGGCAAACGUCACAUUCAGCAACAUAACGAGCAAUGUCUUGCUUCAUGUUAGACCACCAGAAUCUCUGGCGGAUGUCUUGGUACAUCUUUGUACUACCAGGGUGGAUACAUAGAGGCGUAUCAUGAGCUUCUUUCAUAACCUCCUGAGUCAUAUUCAGGUUUUCCUUCUUACAUGGCACCACUAGGCGGCCUUUGAAGUACAAGGCGCCAUCAUCAGCAAUAGUGAAGGAUGAGGGACUUCCUUCUUUGAGGUCUUGCUUAAUCUUGUAGACUUCAGAGUCAAAUCCCUGCAUUGUCUUUAUGGUGCCCACGAGAUCGGGUUCAACAGCCAGGGUAUAGAGGGAACCCUGGGAAACAACACGGAGAUUCAUCUUGCGGAACUCCGGAGGAGGGGGAGCGAGUCUACCCGGAGGCACAAUAUGGAGGUUUAGCUUUCUGAAUUCUUCAACAAGUGAGGGCUGAACUUUGUGAACCUGGAGGUGGUUGCAGUAAGACUUGCGGCUCAAGGCAUCAGCCAUUACAUUAGCCUUGCCUGGUGUAUAGGAAAUACCCAAGUCAAAGUCUGCAACAGUCUCCAUCCAUCUCUGCUGACGGAGGUUCAGGUCUGGCUGAGUAAACAGAUACUUCAGACUUUGGUGGUCAGUGAAGAUCUCGCAACGAUUACCGAGUAGGUAAUGUCGCCACUGUUUUAGCGCAUGAAUGACAGCAGCAAGUUCGAGGUCGUGAACUGGGUAGUUCUCUUCGUGAGGGCGCAAUUGACGAGAGGCAUAGGCAACCACCUUGCACUCUUGCAUUAGGACACAGCCUAAUCCUUGACGGGAAGCGUCGCAGUAAAUGAUGAAGUCCUUCUUAGUAUCAGGAGGAGCUAGUACUGGGGCAGAAGUCAACUUGUCCUUGAGUGCCUGGAAACUUUCCUGACAUUUAUCUGUCCAUUGGAACUUGACGCCCUUAUGCAAUAGGUUAGUCAGAGGCCUGGCAAUCUUGGAGAAGUUCUCGACGAAUCGACGGCAGUAGCUGGCGAGACCGAGAAAACUUCUGACUUGCUUAACGUUCUUCGGAGGAGUCCAAUCGAGAAUAGCCUGAACUCGUUCAGGGUUGACGGCAAUACCAUCCUUAGAGAUGACAUGCCCGAGAUAGGUUACUUCGGGCAGCCAGAAUUCACACUUGGAGAACUUGGCAUAUAGCUGAUGCUCUCGUAGCUUUUCCAGCACAAGACGAAGAUGUUCAGCAUGUUCUUCUUCACUCUUGGAAAAUAUCAGGAUAUCAUCCAGAUAAACCACGACGAACUUGUCGAGGUAAUCCAUGAAUAUAUAGUUCAUCAGGCGAGAGAAGGUGGCUGGAGCAUUGGUCAAGCCGAAAGACAUGACGGUGUACUCGUAUGAACCAUAACGAGUCACAAAGGCGGUCUUGGGGAUAUCCUCCUCACGAACACGGAUCUGGUGGUAUCCCAACCUCAAGUCGAGUUUAGAGAACACUGAUGAACCAGCCAGUUGAUCAUACAGAUCAUUGAUCCGAGGAAGAGGAUACUUAUUUUGAAUGGUAGCUUGAUUUAUAGGACGGUAGUCUUGGACCAAUCGGUUUGUCCCAUCUUUCUUCUUGACAAAGAGAGAAGGUGCUCCCCAAGGAGAGCAACUUGGGCGAAUGAAACCGCUUCGAAGAGAUUUAUCGAUUUCCUCCUUAAGCUCAAGGAGUUCAUGCGGCGGCAUCUUGUAGGGUCGCUUGGCUAUAGGAGUAGUGCCUGGUUUCAAGUCGAUGACGAAUUCGACAGCUCUAGCGGGGGGAAUCCCUGGGAGUUCUUCUGGAAAGACGUCGAGGAAGUCACGCACGACGGGGAUGUUUUCAAUGCCCUCGAGUGGUGCGGCGUUCAAUGCAUUCAAUGCAUAGAGCCUUACUUCGGCAUUCUUAACCAGAUGGGCAUUGUAGCUUAUUAUCUCAUCAGAAGGGUGUAGCAGAUGGACGGUCUUGGUGGCGCAAACGAUAGAAGCAGUAUGCGCCUUUAACCAAUUCAUUCCCAGAAUGAGGUCAAUGCUACAGGACUUCAGUACGAUGGGAGAGACAAGGAAUUCCAGUCCUUCGAUUUCUACAGGGACGUCGUUGCAAAUCAUGGAGGUUCGACAUUGGCCCGCAGGAGUGUGUACUAAUAGUGAAGCAUUCAUGUCCUCACAUUUAAUGUCGUGCAAGCAUGCAAAAUCUUCUGACAUGAAUGAAUGCGAUGCACCUGUAUCGAAUAAAACAGAUGCAGGUACUGAAUUUACGAGGAGAGUACCCAUCACAGUAGCAGGCUGGUCUUGAGCUUCAUUCAGAUCAACGUGGUUGGCAUGAACACGGCCAUAAGACUUGGCAUUGUUAUUGCGGGUCUGGUUGUUUCCACGGCCAGCGGCUGGAAGGGCCAGUUGAUUCUGAUUCUGAAUGCAAUCCCUAGCACGGUGACCUGGUUGACCACACUUGUAGCAUAGGCCAUUAUUGGGAGUGGGAACAGGAGCUUGGGGUGGCGGAGCUGGAAGCCUCGGCUGCCUAGUUGGAGCAGCCGGCAAACGAGGUGCAGCAUAAGACUGCCUUGGGGCAGGUGCAUUUGGACGGUACAUGCUGUUCGGGAUCCAUAUCUUACGCUUCUGCGAGGGCGGGCCCGAAGAUGAGCCCGUGUCACGGUUGCGCCUUUGAGAGCUCUGAUGUUCUUGCAGACCCGUCUCGACAUUGAUGGCCUUGUUCACCAAGGUGGCGAAAUCGGCAAAGUCAUGCACUAGAAGUGCGAGCUUGAUGUCAGCUUGAAGGCCUUCACGGAACUUCUCCUGUCUGCGAGCAUCAGUUGCAAUGUCUUCUUCAGCAUAGCGGGAUAAGUCCAGAAACUCCCGCUGAUAAGCUUCAACAGUCUUGUUGCCUUGGGUGAGGUUGCGAAACUCACGCUUCUUCCGGUCCAUGACUCCCUGAGGAAUGAAGCGGGCACGGAAGGCAGCCUGAAAGUCUGGCCAGGAGAUGAUUGUCCCAACUGGCAGAGUACGCCUGUGGCUGUCCCACCAUUGCGCUACGGGUCCCUUUAGAAAGAAUGAAGCAAAAGUGACAUAGCUGGCAGGGGCUACAUCAGCAGACUCCAUCUCAUAGGUGAUGUCACGGAGCCAGUCAUCAGCAUCAAGCGGCUGGGUUGAGCUGCGGUACACACUUGGGUUGAGGCGUAUGAAAUCCUGCAGAGUGGUUGUAUUUGGAUGCUGGUUCAUAUUGGGGCGAGGAAACUGAGCCAUCAUGUUUUCCAUGAACUGGCGAUUCAUCUCAAGCUGUUGGAUCAUACCAGCCAUGUACUCAGGCGGUGGUGGGAAGUUGCCACCACGACCACGGCCAGUUGGUCUAACCAUCCUGCUAAUAUAUAACAGGGGUAGUUCAGUAUUGAGAAAUUUGCAUAGACAAGAGUCAUUCAUGAUGAAACAUGCAUAAUGAAAGGAGCACGACAGCUACCACAUAGAUAGUCGGCAUAACUUACAAAAGGGGUCGGACAUCGAGUUCAGUACACAGAGUUCAAUACAUAGAUUAAGUCAUCAUAGGCGGCACGCAGGCUCGCGAGUGCAUCUAAGACUAAUGAGCAAGACUACAUCAGUCCCAGGAGGUACUGUGAAGGUAGCUGUAACCUGACAGCUGGUAGUGAGGCAACGGAUAGUCCUCCACGUCAGUGGCCUGGGGGCCGCGGAUACUCUGGUGUAGAACCCGACGCUCAGGUGGCAGAAGAGGACCAAGUGCGGGAGAGUAGCCUCCCACCUCUAGCCAUCCGACACCGUGGGGCAUCACGGUCCUGGCUGGGUAGAUCGCAGAUCGCUGCAGCUGUCCAGACCGGACAAAGGGGUGCAACCGCGUCAGAGCCCUGUAAAGGUGCUGACGAGUGGUGUACAACUCGUGGCGAAGAGCUCUGUUAGCUCGGUCCAGCCCAUCAGCAUGCAGAACCAGGCGCUGAUGGUGGAAAGGCUCUCGGGUGACGGUGGAGUAGGCGGCAGUGUAGUAUCCCUCCGCACCAACAUCAGAUGCGAUAGGAAUGUGCCUGAAAGGGGAAGUGUCCAAUGCCUGAUACUCGCCACGAAGACGUGUUAGAGCAGCAUGAGCAGCAUCGUGGACUGCCAUCUCGAUGGUCACUCCAACACCAUGAGCGGUGUGCAGCACGGUAGUGGACUCAUACUCCCGAGAGUAGAGGUGGACGAUGGCACGGUACUGCUCCUGGUUAAAGUCCUGGUACUCCUCGUAGACGGUGUACUCAGGGUGCCAGCGAUAACCCAAAUAGGUCAUCAUAUCAGCUAGCACAGCAGGUGAUCCUGAGGCUCCAAUGGCCGCAGUGUGGCGCACGACCUGCCUCGCGGGUUCCAUCUGAAAACAAAGAUGUUUCAAUGGAGUCAAAUGACAACAUGGGCACAAUUCAAAAUGCUAUCCUACAGAAUAACUAUGGCUUAUCCAACUUUGGGGUGAACGUGGUAACGGGAUCCUAAUGUCAGAGUUAGUAAAUUCGUUUAACCCGAGUAGAAAAGAGUUCAAAGUCCCAGAGUAAAGGUCGAGGAGUAAAAGAUCCUAGUACCACCCAAAUGGCGACGUGGGCCCGUAAGGCUCACAGCCAUGUUAGUAAAAGUUUUGUAGUGACUAGACUCGACUUCGGCCAAGGAGUGUGGAAGGGGGAUUCCUACAGGCAGUCGGCUCUGAUACCAACUUGUGACGCCCCCGAUUCAAUCGUACACUAAUCAUGCACGCAAAUGUGUACGAUCAAGAUCAGGGACUCACGGGAAGAUAUCACAACACAACUCUAAAACAUAAAAUAAGUCAUACAAGCAUCAUAAUACAAGCCAGGGGCCUCGAGGGAUCGAAUACAAGUGCUCGAUCAUAGACGAGUCAGCGGAAGCAACAAUAUCUGAGUACAGACAUAAGUUAAACAAGUUUGCCUUAAGAAGGCUAGCACAAACUGGGAUACAGAUCGAAAGAGGCGCAGGCCUCCUGCCUGGGAUCCUCCUAAACUACUCCCGGUCGUCAUCAGCGGGCAGCACGUAGUAGUAGGCACCUCCAGUGUAGUAGGGGUCGUCGUCGAUGGUGGCGUCUGGCUCCAGGGCUCCAGCAUCUGGUUGUGACAACCAGAAAGAAAGGAAAAGGGGAAAAAGGGGGGAGAAAGCAACCGUGAGUACUCAUCCAAAGUACUCGCAAGCAAGGAACUACACUACAUAUGCAUGGGGAUAUGUGUAAGGAGGCCAUAUCAGUGGACUGAACUGCAGAAUGCCAGAAUAAAGGGGGAUAGCUAGUCUUAUCGAAGACUACGCUUCUGGUCACCUUCGUCUUGCAACAGGCAGAAGAGGGUAGGUCGAAGUCCUCCAAGUAGCAUCUCCAAGUAACAUCUCCAAAUAGCAUCUCAUAGCAUAAUCCUACCCGGCAAUCCCCUCCUCAUAUCCCUGAGGUAGAGCGACCACCGGUUGUAUCUGGCACUUGGAAGGGUGUGUUUUAUUAAGUAUCCGGUUCUAGUUGUCAUAAGGUCAAGGUACAACUCCAAGUCGUCCUGUUACCGAAGAUCACGGCUAUUCGAAUAGAUUAACUUCCCUGCAGGGGUGCACCACAUAACCCAACACGCUUGAUCCCAUUUGGCCGGACACACUUUCCUGGGUCAUGCCCGGCCUCGGAAGAUCAACACGUCGCAGCCCCACCUAGGCAAAACAGAGAGGCCAGCACGCCGGUCUAAACCUAAGCGCACAGGGGUCUGGGCCCAUCGCCCAUAGCACACCUGCACGUUGCGUGGGCGGCCGGAAGCAGAACUAGCCCCCUUAAUACAAGAGCAGGCUUACGUUCCAAUCCGGCGCGCGCCGCUCCGUCGCUGACGUCUGAAGUGCUUCGGCUGAUACCACGACGCCGGGAUACCCAUAACUACUCCCACGUAGAUGGUUAGUGCGUAUAGGCUCGUAGCCGACUCAGAUCAAAUACCAAGAUCUCGUUAAGCGUGUUAAGUAUCCGCGAACGCCGAACAGGGCCAGGCCCACCUCUCUCCUAGGCGGUCUCAACCUGCCCUGUCGCUCCGCCUCAAAGAUCCACACAGAGGGCCGUCGGGACAAAGGUCCUUUCAGCCCCCAAUCAGUGAAUCACUCGCGGGUACUCUUCGAGCUGACCCGACUUUAGUCACCAUCUGUAUAGUAUGUAUGUAUGUAUAGUAUAUACCCGUGAUCACCUCCCGAGUGAUCACGGCCCAAUAUUAUAGCAAGGCAGACUAACAUGAAUGUGGGGCCAACAAUGAUAAACUAGCAUGCUAUACUAAGUAUUUAGGAUUGCAGGUAAGGUAUCAACAGAUGUAGCAACAAUGUCAGGCUAUGCAUCAGAAUAGGAUUAACGGAAAGCAGUAACAUGCUACACUACUCUAAUGCAAGCAGUAUAGAGUAGAAUAGGCGAUAUCUGGUGAUCAAGGGGGGGGGGCUUGCUUGGUUGCUCUGGCAAGAGAGAGGGGUCGUCAACUCCGUAGUCGAACUGGGCAGCAGCAGCGUCGGUCUCGUAGUCUACCGGAGAGAAGAGGGGGAAGAAAUAAUGAAUACAAUGCAAACAAAUGCAUAUCGAUGCAUGACUUGACAAGUAACGAUGCUAGGUGUGCCCAAUCGCGGUAGUAGGUGAUACCGACGAAGGGGGGGAAACAUCCGGGAAAGUAUUCACGGUGUUUCGCGUUUUCGGACAGAUGAACCGGAGGGGGAAAGUUGCGUGUUUGGUAUGUUAGAGGUGUGUGGUGGACGAACGGGCUGCGUAUCCGGGUUCGUCUCGUCGUUCUGAGCAACUUUCAUGUAGAAAGUAUUUUCAUCCGAGUUACGGAUUAAAAGAUAUGAUUUUCUAAAGAUUUAAAUCAUUUUCUGAUUUUAUUUAGUUAUUUAAUUCCAACAUUAUCCAAAAUAGUGAAUGAUGACGUCAGCAUGACAUCAGAGUGAUGUCAGCAGGUCAACUGGUCAGUUGACCAGUCAAACCAGACAGGUGGGUCCAGUGGGACCCACAUGUCAUUGUCAGGGAUAUUAACAGAAUUCUAAAACUAACUAAAUUGGGUUAAUUAGUGGGUGGGGCCCGGUAGUCAGUGAGAGAUUAGUGUUUAAUUAAUUAAUUUAAUUAAUUAGCAAUUUAUCUAUUUAUUUUUAUUCGUUUUAAGACAUGGGGCCCGCAUGUCUGUGGCAGUGGCUGCCACAUCAGCGUAGUUGACCCGGUCAACUUGGCCAGUUGGGGCCCCAGGCCCACAGGCAGUGACCCAGGGGGUGGACCCCACGCAUGCCACAUCAGCCGGCCGGCGUUUAGACGCCGGCGAGUCCGUUUUCGCGGCGGCGCGGCUCGGGAUAGUGGCGGGUUUCGCCCAUAGGGCACCAAACCGAGCGGGACCGGUCGCGUUCGAACGGCAAGACGACGGCGAAGUGAGUGGGGGUGGUUGUAGAGGCGGUGGUGGCCGGAGUCGAGCGCCACGAGCUCGUCGGCGGUGAGGUGGUUCGGGCGCGAAAUGAAGAUGGCGACACCGCGCGCUUCGGGGCUAACGGGAAGGCCAGGGGGGAGCUGCGCGACGCGCUGAGCACAAAGGACUCGGCCCCGUGACCAUUUGGUCACCGGAAGGGCGCCGGCGACGCGUGCAGGCGGCGGCGCGGUCGGGUGCUUCGGCGGUAGCUAGCUAGGGCACCGUGAGGCGAAGAAGGAGAGGGGGAGAGGACGGAGUGGAGCUCACCGAGCGGUCAAGAAAGACCCAUGGUGGCUUAGGAGCAGCAGAGCUCGCCGGGGAGGAAGGGGAUCGCCGGCGGCCGUCGAGGAAGCAGACGACUCGAUCCGUGGCCUGCGGUGCUCCUCGAGCUCGAUGGCGAGGCGUAGCCGAAGUAGAGGUCGUCGACGCGUCUCGCGGACGUGCUAGCGAGGCGCGGGGUGGCCGGUGGCCGCGGUUAUGGCGCAGCCAUGGCGACGGCGGCGCUCGGUUACGGAGGGGAAUGAAGGGAAGCGCGGUGGAUCUGAGGGGGAAGGCGCAAGGACCAAGGGGAGAGUGGGGGCGAGUGGGAGGAGAGACCGAGGGGCGCGGCGUCGGCGUCCUUAUCCCCUCGCCUCGUCGCCGGCGAGGUGGGUUCGGCUGGGACGUGCCCUGUUCCGACCCGGGUCGGGGGAACAGGGGAAGGGGACGCGGUGCGGGGGCUGGGCCGGCUGGGCCGGCCAGUCUGGCUGCGGGCCAGGGGGAUUGGGCGGUGGCCGUGCGGGUGGGUUGGGCUGCUUGGUCCAGGGGGCUUCCCCCCCCUUUUUUUGGUUUUUUUAUUUAUUUUCCCUUUCUGUUUUAUUUAGUUUUAGGGCAUCUAGGCAUUUUAUAAAAUAGUGUUUGCUUCACCAUAAUUACCAGUGCAAUAUUUGGCAACCCCCGAACAUUUUCGCUUUGACUUUUGAAAACUUAGGGUGUUUGACACUAAUUCAUAUUUUGAAUUAGCAAUGAUUUUGAACUACCACUUGGUUAGCAACAGUAACACUGGUGACAUGGCAUCAUUAUAAGAGUUUUACUGUAGCCUAAUUAUCCGGGCGUUACAGGACCCAAGAUGGGAUCUCACGGGUUCAGAAGGUUGCGGCAGUGAAAUAGGGUUUCAUGGUGCUUUUGGAUGUUUUCACAGUAUAAGAGUAUAUAUAGGCGAAGGAAGUCGAUCAGGGGAGCCACGAGGGGCCCACGAGGGUGGGGCGUGCCCACUCCCCUAGGGCGCGCCCUCCUACCUCGUGGCUUCCUCGUCUACUUCUUGACGUCCACUCCAAGUCUCCUGGAUUGUGUUUGUUCCAAAAAUAACUCUCCCGAAGGUUUCAUUUUGUUUGGACUCCGUUUGAUAUUCCUUUUCUGCGAAACACUGAAAUAGGCAAAAAAACAACAAUUUGGACUGGGCCUCCGGUUAAUAGGUUAGUCCCAAAAAUAAUAUAAAAAUGCUUCGUAAAGCCCAUUAAACAUCCAAAAUAGGUAAUAUAAUAGCAUGGAAUGAAAAAUUAUAGAUACGUUGGAGACUUAUCAAGCAUCCAAGCUUAAUUCCUGCUCAUCCUCGAGUAUGUAAAUGAUAAAAACAGAAUUUUUGAUGUGGAUUGCUACCUAGCAUAAUUCUCAAUGUAAUUUUCUUUAUUGUGUCAUGAAUGUUCAGAUCCAAAAGAUUCAAGGUAAAAGUUUAAUAUUGACAUAAAAAUAGUAAUACUUCAAGCAUACUAACAAAGUAAUCAUGUCUUAUCAAAAUAACAUAGCCAAAGAAAGCAUAUCCCUACAAAAUCAUAUAGUUAGGCCAUGCUUCAUUUUCGUCACACAAAAUAAUCCCAUCAUGCACAACCCUGGUUUCAGCCAAGCAAUUGGUUCAUACUUUUUAAUGCGCUUCAGCUUUUUCAACCCUCACGCAAUACAUGAGCGUAAGCCAUGGAUAUAGCACUAUGGGUGGAAUAGAGUAUGAUGAUAGGGAUUGUGUGAGAAGACAAAAAAAGAGAAAGUCUCACAUUGACGCGGCUAAUCAAUUGGCUAUGGAGAUGCCCAUCAAUUGAUGUCAAUGCGAGGAGUAGGGAUUGCCAUGCAACUGAUGCACUAGAGCUAUAAAUGUAUGAAAGCUCAACAAAAGAAACUAAGCGGGUGUGCAUCCAACUUGCUUGCUCACGAAGACCUAGGACAUUUUGAGGAAGCCCAUCAUUGGAAUAUACAAGCCAAGUUCUAUAAUGAAAAAUUCCCACUAGUAUAUGAAAGUGACAACAUAGGAGACUCUCUAUCAUGAAGAUCAUGGUGCUACUUUGAAGCACAAGUGUGGAAAAAGGAUAGUAACAUUGUCCCUUCUCUCUUUUUCUCUCAUUUUUUCUUUUUUUAUUUUGGUGGGCUUCUUUGGCCUCUUUUUUUAUUUGGGCUUCUUUGGCCUCUUUUAUUUUCAUAAAGUCUGGAGUCUCAUCCUGACUUGUGGGGUAAUCAUAGUCUCCAUCAUCCUUUCCUCACUUGGGACAGUGCUCUAAUAAUGGAAAUCAUCACACUUUUAUUUAUUUGCAACUCAAGAAUUACAACUCAAUACUUAAGACAAAAUAUGACUCUAUGUGAAUGACUCCAGCGGUGUACCAGGAUAUGCAAUGAGUCAAGAGCGACAUGUGUGAAAGAAUUAUAAAGGUGGCUUUGCCACAAAUACGAUGUCAACUACAUGAUCAUGCAAAAUCAAUAUGACAAUGAUGGAGCAUAUCAUAAUAAACGGAAUAGUAGAAAGUUGCAUGGCAAUAUAUCUCGGAAUGGCUAUGGAAAGGCCAUAAUAGGUAGGUAUGGUGGCUGUUUUGAGGAAGAUAUAAGGAGGUUUAUGUGUGAUAGAGUGUAUCGUAUCACGGGGUUUGGAUGCACCGGUGAAGUUUGCACCAACUCUCAAGGUGAUAAAGGGCAAUGCACGGUACCAUAGAGGCUAGCAAAUUGUGGAAGGGUAAGAGUGCGUAUAAUCCAUGGACUCACAUUAGUCAUAAAGAACUCAUAUACUUAUUGCAAAAGUUUAUUAGCCCUCGAAGCAAAGUGCUACUACGCAUGCUCCUAGGGGAAGGGUGGUAGGAUUUAACCAUCGCGCGAUCCCGACCUCCACUCAUAAGGAAGGCAAUCAAUGAACACCCCAUGCUACAAAUUUGUCACACAACGUUCACCAUACAUGCAUGCUACGGGACUUGCCAACUUUAACACAAGUGUUUCUCAAUCUCAUAAUUACCCAACUAGCAUGACUCUAACAUUAACACCUUUAUAUCUCAAAACAAUUAUCAAGUAUCAAAUUGAUCAUAGUGUUCAAUGCACUUGAUAUGAUAGUUUUUAUUAUACCCAACUUGGAUGCCCAUCAUAUUAGGACUAAUUUUAUAACCAAAGCAAUUACCAUGCUGUUCUAAAAGACUCUCAAAAUAAUAUAAGUGAAGCAUGAGAGAUCAAUAAUUUCUACAAAAUAAAACCACCACCGUGCUCUAAAAAGAUAUAAGUGAAGCACUAGAGCAAAAUUAUCUAGCUCAAAAGAUAUAAGUGAAGCACAUAGAGUAUUCUAAUACAUUCCAAUUCAUGUGUGUCUCUCCAAAAGGUGUGUACAGCAAGGAUGAUUGUGGUAAACUGAUACGUCUCCAAUGUAUCUAUAAUUUUUUAUUGUUCCAUGAUAUUAUAUUACCUGUUUUGGAUGUUUAUGGGCUUUAUUUUACACGUUUAUAUCAUUUUUGGGACUAACCUACUAACCGGAGGCCCAGCCAGUAUUGCUGUUUUUUGCCUAUUUUAGUAUUUCGAAGAAAAGGAAUAUCAAACGGAGUCCAAACGGAAUGAAACCUUUGAAAGCGUGAUUUUUGGAACAAACGUGAUCCAGAGGACUUGGAGUGCAAGCCAAGAAGCAGUCGAGGAGGCCACGAGGGUGGAGGGCGCGCCCACCCCUACAGGGCGUGCACCCUAUCUCGUGGGCCCCUCGGGCGGCCACCGACGUACUUCUUCCUCCUAUAUAUACCCACGUACCCUGAAAACAACGAGGGAGCCACCGAAACACAAUUUCCACCGCCGUAACCUUCUGUAUCCACGAGAUCCCAUCUUGGAGCCUUCGCCGGCGCUCCGCCGGAGGGGGAAUCGACCAUGGAGGGCUUCUACAUCAACACCAAAGCCCCUCCGAUGAGUUGUGAGUAGUUUACCACAGACCUUCGGGUCCAUAGUUAUUAGCUAGAUGGCUUCUUCUCUCUUUUUGGAUCUCAAUACCAUGUUCUCCCCCUCUCUUGUGGAGAUCUAUUUGAUGUAAUUCUUUUUACGGUGUGUUUGUCGAGAUCCGAUGAAUUGUGGGUUUAUGAUCAAGUUUAUCUAUGAGAAAUAUUUGAAUCUCCUCUUAAUUCUUUUAUGUAUGAUUAAGUUAUCUUUGCAAGUCUCUUCGAACUAUCAGUUUGGUUUGGCCUACUAGAUUGAUCUUUCUUGCAAUGGGAGAAGUGCUUAGCUUUGGGUUCAAUCUUGCGGUGUCCUUUCCCAGUGACAGCAGGGGCAGCAAGGCACGUAUUGUAUUGUUGCCAUCGAGGAUAAAAAGAUGGGGUUUAUAUCAUAUUGCAUGAGUUUAUCCCUCUACAUCAUGUCAUCUUUCUUAAUGCAUUAUUCUGUUCUUAUGAACUUAAUACUCUAGAUGCAUGCUGGAUAGCGGUCGAUGUGUGGAGUAAUAGUAGUAGAUGCAGGCAGGAGUCGGUCUACUUGUUGCGGACGUGAUGCCUAUAUACAUGAUCAUGCCUAGAUAAUCUCAUAAUUAUUCGCUUUUCUAUUAAUUGCUCGACAGUAAUUUGUUCACCCACCGUAAUACUUAUGCUAUCUUGAGAGAAGCCACUAGUGAAACCUAUGGCCCCGGGGUCUAUCUUUUAUCAUAUAAGCUUCCAAUCUACUUUUAUUUGCAUCUUUACUUUUCCAAUCUAUAUCAUAAAAUACCAAAAAUAUAUUUAUCUGAUCAUACUAUCUUUAUGAGAUCUCACUUAUGCAAGUGGCCGUGAAGGGAUUGACAACCCAUUUAUCGCGUUGGUUGCGAGUUCUUUGUUUGUUUGUGUAGGUGUGUGGGACUUUUGAGGAGCCUCCUACUGGAUUGAUACCUUGGUUCUCAAAAACUAAGGGAAAUACUUAUGCUACUAUUGCUGCAUCACCCUUUCCUCUUCAAGGAAAACCAAUGCAAGCGCAAGACGUAGCAAGAAGGAUUUCUGGCACCGUUGUCGGGGAGGUCUUCGCUCAAGUCAAGACAUACCAAGUACCCAUCACAAACUCAUCUCCCUCGCAUUUACAUUAUUUGCUAUUUGCCUCUCGUUUUGCACUCCCCCACUUCACCCUUGUUGUUUUAUUUGCCCUCUCUUUCCCAAUCUUCUUCUCCUCUCUUUCGCUUGCCUUUCUCUGUUUGCUUGUGUGUUGGAUUACUUGUUGCCAUGGCGCAAGAUAAUACCAAAUUGUGUGAUUUCUCCAAUGCCAAUAAUAAUGAUUUCCUUAGUACUCCGAUUGCUCCUCUUAAUGAUGUUGAGUCUUGUGAAAUCAAUGCUGCUUGGCUGAAUCUUGUUAUGAAAGAUCAAUUCGCCAGCCUUCCUAGUGAAGAUGCCGCUACCCAUCUAAACAACUUUGUUGAUUUGUGUGAUAUGCAAAAGAAGAAAGAUACGGACAAUGAUAUUGUUAAAUUAAAGUUAUUUCCGCUUUCACUUAGAGAUCAUGCUAAAGUUUGGUUUUCGUCUUUGCCUAAGAAUAGUAUUGAUUCUUGGAACGAGUGCAAAGAUGCUUUUAUCUAAAUAUUUUCCUCCCGCUAAGAUUAUCACUCUUAGGAACGAUAUUAUGAAUUUUAAACAACUUGAUCAUGAGCAUGUUGCCCAAUCUUGGGAAAGAAACUGAUGAUUCGCAAUUGCCCUACUCAUGGUUUGAAUUUAUGGAUGAUCAUACAAAAAUUUUAUGCCAGAUUAAACUUUGCUUCUAGAAAUCUUUUAGAUUCGGCUGCAGGAGGUACGUUUAUGGAAAUCACUUUAGGAGAUGCUACAAAACUUCUUGAUAAUAUUAUGGCUAAUUAUUCUCAAUGGCACACCGAAAGAUCUACUAGUAAAAAAGUGCAUGCUAUAGAAGAAAUUAAUGUUUUAAGUGGAAAGAUGGAUGAAGUUAUGAUAUUGUUUGCUACUAAGAGUGCUUCUAUUGAUCCCAAUGAUAUGCCUUUAUCUACCUUGAUUGAGAAUAAUAAUGAAUCUAUGGAUGUAAAUUUUGUUGGUAGGAAUAAUUUUGGAAACAAUGCUUAUAGAGGAAACUUUAAUCCUAGACCGUUCCCUAGUAAUUCCUCUAAUAAUUAUGGAAAUUCCUACAAUAAUUCUUAUGGUAAUUUUAAUAAGAUGCCCUCUGAUUUUGAGAAUAGCGUGAAAGAAUUUAUGAUCUCUCAAAAGAAUUUUAAUGCUUUGCUUGAAGAAAAAUUGCUCAAAGUUGAUGAUUUGGCUAGGAACGUUGAUAGACUUUCCCUUGAUGUUGAUUCUCUUAAACUUAGAUCUACUCCUCCCAAGCAUGAUAUCAAUGAGUCUCUCAAAGCUAUGAGAAGUUCCAUUGACAAGUGAAAAGAAAGAACCGCUAGAUUGCGUGCUAAGAAAGAUUGCUUUGUAAAAGCGUGUUCUUCUAGUUUCCAUGAAAAUAAUGAUGAAGAUCUUAAAGUUAUUGAUGUGUCCCCUAUUAGAUCUUUGUUUUGCAAUAUGAAUCUUAAUAAUAAUGGGACUGGAGAUGAGUCAACUUUAGUUAAAAGGCGUCCCAAUAAUUUGGAGUUUUUAGAUCUUGAUGCUGAAUUUGGUAAAAGUGGGAUUGGAGAGGUCAUGACUUUAAAUAGCAUUGAACCCACUAUCUCGGAUUUCUAGGAAUUUGAUUAUGAUAAUUGUUCUUUAGAAAGUUGUAUUUCCUUGUUGCAAUCCGUUGUGAAUUCUCCUCAUGCUUAUAGUCAAAAUAAAGCUUUUAGCAAACAUAUCGUUGAUGCCUUGAUCCAAUCUUUUGAUGGAAAACUUAAUUUGGAAGUUUCUAUACCUAGAAAACUUAAUGAUGAGUGGGAACCUACUAUAAAGAUUAAAAUUAAAGAUCAUGAGUGUUUUGCUUUGUGUGAUUUGGGUGCUAGUGUUUCCAUGAUUCCUAAAACUUUAUGUGAUAUUCUAGGUUUCCGUGAUCUUGAUGAUUGCUCUUUAAAUUUGCACCUUGCGGAUUCCACCAUUAAAAAGCCAAUGGGAAGGAUAAAUGAUGUUCUCAUUGUUGCAAAUAGAAAUUUGGUGCCCGUAGAUUUUAUUGUUCUUGAUAUUGAUUGCAAUCUUUCUUGCCCUAUUAUACUUGGUAGACCUUUCCUUAGAACGAUUGGCGCGAUUAUUGAUAUGAAGGAAAGGAAUAUUAGAUUCCAAUUUCCAUUAAGGAAGGGCAUGGAGCACUUUCCAAGAAAGAAAAUUAAAUUACCUUAUGAAUCUAUCAUGCGAGCUACUUAUGAAUCAAGUGCCAAAGAUGGCACCACUUAGAUCUAUAUUCGCUUUUAUGCCUAGCUAGGGGUGUUAAACGAUAGCGCUAGUUGGGAGGCAACCCAAUUUUCUUUGUGUUUUUGUUUUUGUUCCUGUUUAGUAAUACAUUUUGCAUCUACCUUCUGUUUAGAUGUGUUUUCAUGCAUUACUUAGUGUUUGUGCCAAGUAGAACCUAUAUGAUAACCUAUGAUGAUAGUUAAUUUGAUUCUGCUGAAAAACAGAAACUUUGUGCUCACGAGAAAAAAAUCAAUAAAUCACAGAAACGUGAUUUUGCAUUGAUUCUUUUUUCUAUAGAUAAAUAGGCAAAUUUUCCAGGACGUCCUAUUUUGGUAGGAUUUUUAGAGUUCCAGAAGUUUGCGUUAAUUACAGAUUUCUACAGAUUGUUCUGUUUUUGACAGAUACUGCCUUUCGUGUGUUGUUUGCUUAUUUUGAUGCAUCUAUGGAUAGUAUUAAGUGGUAUGAACCAUAGAGACUUGGAAUACAGUAGGUUUAACACCAAUAUAAAUAAAGAAUGAGUUCAUUACAGUACCUUAUAUGGUGGUUUUGUUUUCUUUCACUAACGGAGCUUAUGAGAUUUCCUGUUGAGUUUUGUGUUGCGAAGUUUUCAAGUUUUGGGUAAAGAUUUGAUGGACUAUGGAAUAAGGAAUGGCAAAAGCCUAAGCUUGGGGAUGCCCAUGGGACCCCAAGAUAUUCAAGAGUAGCCAAAAGCCUAAGCUUGGGGAUGCCCCCGGAAGGCAUCCCCUCUUUCGUCUUCGUUCAUUGGUAACUUUACUUGGAGCUAUAUUCUUAUUCACCACAUGAUAUGUGUUUUGCUUGGAGCGUCGUGUAUGAUAUUAGUAUUUGAUUUUUAGUUUACCACAAUCAUCCUUGCUGUACACACCUUUUGGGAGAAGCCCAUUUGAUUGAAAUUUAUUAGAAUACUUUAUGUGCUUCACUUAUAUCUUUUGAGCUAGAUAGUUUUUGCUUUAGUGCUUCACUUAUAUCUUUUAGAGCACGGCGGUGGCUUAAUUUUGUAGAAAUUGCUAGUCUCUCAUGCUUCACUUAUAUUAUUUUGAGAGUCUCUUAGAACAGCAUGGUAUUUGCUAUGGUUAUGAAUUUGGUCCUAGAAUGAUGAGCAUCCAACUUGGGUAUAAUAAAAACUAUCAUAGAAAGUGCAUUAAACACUAGCAUCAAUUUGAUUCUUGAUAAUUGUUUUGAGAUAUAAAGGGAGUAAUUUUAGGGUCAUGCUAGUGGGUAAUUAUGAAAUUGAGAAAUACUUGUCUUGAAGUUGGCAAGUCCUGUAGCAUGCACGUAUGGUAAAAGUUGUGUGACAAAUUUGUUGCAUGAGGUGCUCUUUUGAGUGUCUUCCUUAUGAGUGGCAGUCGGGGACGAGCGAUGGUCUUUUCCUACCAAUCUAUCCCUCUAGGGGCAUGCGUAGUAGUACUUUGCUUCGAGGUCUAAGUAGACUUUUGCAAUAAGUAUAUGAGUUCUUUAUGACUAAUGUGAGUCCAUGGAUAUACGCACACUCACCCUUCCACUUAGCUAGCUUCUAUUAUAUCGCGCAACUUUUGCCGGUAUCAUGCACCCAUUAUUUACCUUCCUCAAAACAGCCACCAUACCUACCUAUCAUGGCAUUUCCAUAGCCAUUCCGAGAUAUAUUGCCAUGCAACUUUCCACUGUUCCGUUAUUAUGACACACAUCAUCAUUGUCAUAUUGCUCUUUGCAUGAUCAUGUAGUUGACAUCGUAUUUGUGGCAAGGCCACCUUCAUAAUUUUCAUACAUGUCGCUCUUGAUUCAUUGCAUAUCCAGGUACACCGCCGGAGGCAUUCAUAUAGAGUCAUAUCUUGUUCUAAGCUUUGAGUUGUAAUUCUUGAGUUGUAAAUCAAUAAAAGUGUGAUGAUCUUCAUUAUUAGAGCAUUGUCCCAUUGAGGAAAGGAUGAUGAAGACUAUGAUUCCCCCACAAGUCGGGAUGAGACUUCAGACUUUACAAAAAAAAGAGAAAAAAAUGAAGAAAAAAGAGAAAGGCCAAAAAAAGGAAAGGCCAAAGAAAAAAAGAAAAAAAGAAAAAAAUGAGAGAAAAAGAGAAGGGACAAUUGCUACUAUCUCUUUUCCACACUUGUGCUUCAAAAUAGCACCAUGAUCUUCAUGAUAGAGUCUCCUAUGUGUCACUUUCAUAUUAUAGUGGGAAUUUUUCAUUAUAGAACUUGGCUUGUAUAUUCCAAUGAUGGGCUUCCUCGAAAUGCCCUAGGUCUUAGUGAGCAAGCAAGUUGGAUGCACACCCGCUUAGUUUCUUUUGUUGAGCUUUCAUACAUUUAUAGCUCUAGUGCGUCCAUUGCAUGGCAAUCCCUACUCACUCACAUUGAUAUCUAUUAAUGGGCAUCUCCAUAGCCCGUUGAUACGCCUAGUUGAUGUGAGACUAUCUUCUCCCUUUUUGUCCUAACAACCACCACCAUAUACCACCAUAGUGCUAUGUCCAUGGCUUGCGCUCAUGUAUUGCGUAAGAGUUGAAAAAAGCUAAAGCGCGUUAAAAAGUAUGAACCAAUUGCUCGGCUCGUUAUCGGGGUUGUACAUGAUGGGAGUAUUUUGUGUAAUGAAAAUUAACCAUGACCUAACUAUAUGAUUUUGUAGGGAUAAGCUUUCUUUGGCUAUGUUAUUUUGAUAGGACAUGAUUAUUUGUUAGUAUGCUUCAAAGUAUUAUUAUUUUUAUGUUUUAUAAGCUUUUAUCUUGAAUCAUUUGGAUCUGAACAAACAUGCCACAAUAAAGCAAAUUACAUUGAGAAUUAUGCUAGGUAGCAUUCCACAUCAAAAAUUCAGUUUUUAUCAUUUACCUACUCUAGGACGAGCAGGAAUUAAGCUUGGGGAUGCUUGAUACGUCUCCAACGUAUCUAUAAUUUUUUAUUGUUCCAUGCUAUUAUAUUACCUGUUUUGGAUGUUUAUGGGCUUUAUUUUACAUGUUUAUAUCAUUUUUGGGACUAACCUACUAACCAGAGGCCCAGCCCGUAUUGCUGUUUUUUUUGCCUAUUUCAGUAUUUAGAAGAAAAGGAAUAUCAAACGGAGACCAAACGAAAUGACACCUUUGGGAGCGUGAUUUUUGGAACAAACGUGAUCUAGAGGACUUGGAGUGCAAGCCAAGAAGCAGCCGAGGCGGCCACGAGGGUGGAGGGCGCGCCCACCCCUACAGGGCGUGCCCCAUGUCUCGUGGGCCCCUCGGGCGGCCACCGACGUACUUCUUCCUCCUAUAUAUACCCACGUACCCUGAAAAUGUCAAGGGAGCCAUCGAAACACAAUUUCCACCGCCGUAACCUUAUGUAUCCACGAGAUCCCAUCUUGGAGCCUUCGCCGGCGCUCCGCCGAAGGGGGAAUCGACCAUGGAGGGCUUCUACAUCAACACCAUAGCCCCUCCGAUGAGUUGUGAGUAGUUUACCACAGACCUUCGGGUCCAUAGUUAUUAGCUUGAUUGCUUCUCUCUCUUUUGGGAUCUCAAUACCAUGUUCUCCCCCUCUCUUGUGGAGAUCUAUUUGAUGCAAUUCUUUCUGCGGUGUGUUUGUCGAGAUCCGAUGAAUUGUGGGUUUAUGAUCAAGUUUAUCUAUGAGAAAUAUUUGAAUCUCCUCUGAAUUCUUUUAUGUAUGAUUGAGUUAUCUUUGCAAGUCUCUUCGAAUUAUCAGUUUGGUUUGGCCUACUAGAUUGAUCUUUCUUGCAAUGGGAGAAGUGCUUAGCUUUGGGUUCAAUCUUGCGGUGUCCUUUCACAGUGACAGCAGGGGCAACAAGGCACGUAUUGUAUUGUUGCCAUCAAGGAUAAAAAGAUGGGGUUUAUAUCAUAUUGCAUGAGUUUAUCCCUCUACAUCAUGUCAUAUUUCUUAAUGCUUUACUCUGUUCUUAUGAACUUAAUACUCUAGAUGCAUGCUGGAUAGCGGUCGAUGUGUGGAGUAAUAGUAGUAGACGCAGGCAGGAGUCGGUCUACUUGUUGCGGACGUGAUGCCUAUAUACAUGAUCAUGCCUAGAUAAUCUCAUAAUUAUUCGCUUUUCUAUCAAUUGCUCGACAGUAAUUUGUUCACCCACCGUAAUACUUAUGCUAUCUUGAGAGAAGCCACUAGUGAAACCUAUGGCCCCCGGGUCUAUCUUUAAUCAUAUAAGCUUCCAAUCUAGUUUUAUUUUCAUCUUUACUUUUCCAAUCUAUAUCAUAAAAUACCAAAAAUAUAUUUAUCUUAUCAUACUAUCUCUAUCAGCUCUCAUUUUCGCAAGUGGCCAUGAAGGGAUUGACAACCCCUUUAUCGCAUUGGUUGCGAGUUCUUUGUUUGUUUGUGUAGGUGCGUGGGACUUUUGAGGAGCCUCCUACUGGAUUGAUACCUUGGUUCUCAGAAACUGAGGGAAAUACUUACACUACUAUUGCUGCAUCACCCUUUCCUCUUCAAGGAAAACCAACGCAAGCUCAAGAUGUAGCAUAAAAUAAAAAGCAAAGACUCAAAUCAUACAAGACGCUCCAAGCAAAACACAUAUCAUGUGGUGAAUAAAAAUAUAGCCCCAAGUAAAGUUAUCGAUAGACGAAGACGAAAGAGGGGAUGCUUUUCGGGGCAUCCCCAAGCUUAGGCUUUUGGUUGUCCUUGAAUUUUACCUUGGGGUGUCUUUGGCAUCCCCAAGCUUAGGUCUUGCCACUCCUUAUUCCAUAAUCCAUCAAAUCUUUACCCAAAACUUGAAAACUUCACAACACAAAACUCAACAGAAAAUCUCAUGAGCUCCGUUAGUGCAAGAAAACAAACCACCACUUUAACGUACUGUAAUUAACUCAUUCUUUAUUUAUAUUGGUGUUAAACCUACUGUAUUCCAACUUCUCUAUGGUUCAUACCCCCGAUAUUAGCCAUAGAUUCAUCAAAAUAAGCAAAGAACACGCGAAAAACAGAAUCUGUCAAAAACAGAACAGUCUGUAGCAAUCUGUAACUUUCUAAUACUUCUGGAGCCCUAAAAAUUCUACCAAAAUAGGAAGUCCUAGGAAAUUUGUCUAUUAAUCUACUGCAAAAAUAAUCAACUGAAAAGCACGUUUCUGUGAUUUGUUAAAAUUAUUCUCGUGCAUGCAAAAGUUUUUGUUUUUUAGCAGGAUUAAAUUAACUAUCACCCAAGAUGAUCCUAUAGGUAUUACUUGGCACAAACACUAAUUAAAACAUAAAACCACAUCUAAACAGAGGCUAGAUGAAUUAUUUAUUUAAUAACAACAAGGAAAAAUAUUGGGUUAUCUUCCAACAAGCGCUUUUCUUUAAAGCCUUUUAGCUAGGCAUUGAUAAUUUUAAUGAUGCUCACAUGAAAGACAAGAAUUGAAGCUCAAAGAGAGAAUCAUGAAACAUGUGACAAAACACAUCUAAGUCUAACAUACUUCCUAUUCAUAGGCAUAUUAAAAGAAAACUAAUUUGCAAGGCAAGCAAAAACUAGCAUAUGCAAGGAAGAAGAAAGAGACGAUAGCAAUCUCAACAUGACGAGAGGUAAUUUAGUAAGAUAAAAAUUUCUACGACCAUAUUUUCCUCUCUCAUAAUAAUUACAUCUAGGAUCAUAGGCAAAUUCAACAAAAUAGCUAUCACAUAACAUAUUCUCAACACGAUCCACAUGCAUGUGAAGUUGACACUCUUCCAAAAUAGCGGGAUUAUCAUUAACUAAGUCAUGACCUCUCCAAACCCACUUUUAUCAAAAAUACCAUAAGAUUUAUCAAAAUCCAAAUAUGUAGGAUCUAAAGUUGACACUCUUCCAAACUCACUUUCAAUAAUAUUGCAAACACUAUUAUCACUCCCAUAUUCAUCAUGGGGCUUAAAUAAAUUUUCAAGAUCAUAAAAAAGAAUCACCCCAAUCAUGAUCAUUGCAACAAGUAGUAGACAUAGCAAUCUUAGCAUCCCCAAGCUUAGGGUUUCACAUAUUAUUAUCACAAUUGAAAUCAAGAGAAUUUAAAAUAAAAUCAUUGCAAUCAUGCUUUUUAUUCAAGGAGCUAUCGUGAAUCUCUUCCUAAAUUUCUUCAUCACAAAUUUCAGAUUCACGAAUUUCAAGCAAAACCUCAUAAAGAUAAUCUAGUGCACUCAAAUCACUAGAAUUUGGUUCAUCAUAAUUGGAUCUCUUAAAAAGAUUGGCAAGCAGAUGAGGAUCCAUAGAUCUUAGGUUCUCUGUUUAGCAAUAAAUAAACAACUAUUCCAACCAAACGAGCAAACGAGCCAAGUAAUACAUCAAAGCAAACGAAAAGACGAACAAAACAAGGGAGAAUAAAACGGCAAGGUGAAGUGGGGGAGAGGCAAACGAGAGGCAAAUGUCAAAUAAUGUAAUGCGAGGGAUAAGAGUUUGUGAUGGGUACUUGGUAUGUCUUGACUUGUGCGUAAACUCCCCGGCAACGGCGCCAGAAAUCCUUCUUGCUACCUCUUGAGCAUGCGUUGGUUUUUCCCUUGAAGAGGAAAGGGUGAUGCAGCAAAGUAGCGUAAGUAUUUCCCUCAGUUUUUGAGAACCAAGGUAUCAAUCCAGUAGGAGGUUACACGAAAGUCCCUCGUACCUACACAAACAAAUAAGAACCUUGCAACCAACGCGAUAAGGGGUUGUCAAUCCCUUCACGGCCACUUGCAAAACUGAGAUCUGAUAGAGAUAAUAAAUAUUUUUGGUAUUUUUAUGAUGUAGAUUGGAAAGUAAAGAUUGCAAAAUAAAGUAGAUCGGAAACUUAUAUGAUGGAAAACAGACCCAGGGCCCAUAGGUUUCACUAGUGGCUUCUCUCAAGAUAGCAUAAGUAUUACGGUGGGUGAACAAAUUACUGUCAAGCAAUUUAUAGAAAAGUGCAUAGUUAUGAGAAUAUCUAGGCAUGAUCAUUUAUAUAGGCAUCACGUCCGCGACAAGUAGAUCAAAAUGAUUCUGCAUCUACUACUAUUGCUCCACACAUCGACCGCUAUCCAGCAUGCAUCAAGAGUAUUAAGUUCAUAAGAACAGAGUAACGCAUUAGGCAAGAUGACAUGAUGUAGAGGGAUAAACUCAAGCAAUAUGAUAUAAACCCCAUCUUUUUAUCCUCGAUGACAACAAUACAAUACGUGCCUUGCUGCCCCUGCUGUCACUGGGAAAGGACACCGCAAGAUUGAACCCAAAGCUAAGCACUUCUCCCAUUGCAAGAAAGAUCAAUCUAGUAGGCCAAACAAAACUGAUAAUUCGAAGAGACUUGCAAAGAUAACAAAUCAUACAUAAAAGAAUUCAGAGGAGAUUCAAAUAUUGUUCAUAGAUAAUCUUGAUCAUAAACCCACAAUUCAUCGGAUCUCGACAAACACACCGCAAAAAGAAUUACAUCGAAACAAUCUCCAAGAAGAUCGAGGAGAACUUUGUAUUGAGAAUCAGAGAGAGAGAAGAAGCCAUCUAGCUAAUAAUUAUGGACCCGAAGGUCUGUGGUAAACUACUCACACUUCAUCGAAGAGGCUAUGGCAUUGAUGUAGAAGCCCUCUGUGAUCGAUUCCCCCUCCGACGGAGCACCGGAAAAGGCCCCAAGAUGGGAUCUCAUGGGUACAUAAGGUUGCGGUGGUGGAAAUAGGGUUUCGUGGUGCUCCUAGAUGUUUUCAGGGUAUGAGAGUAUAUAUAGGUGAAGGAAGUCGGUCAGGGGAGCCACGAGGGGCCCAUGAGGGUGGGAGGUGCGCCCACCCCCCUAGGGCUGCGCCCUCCUGCCUCAUGGCUUCCUCGUCUGCUUCUUGACGUCCACUCCAAGUCUCCUGGAUUGUGUUUGUUCCAAAAAUAACUCUCCCGAAGGUUUCAUUCCGUUUGGACUCUGUUUGAUAUUCCUUUUCUGCGAAACACUGAAAUAGGCAAAAACAACAGCAAUUUGGACCGGGCUCCGGUUAAUAGGUUAGUCCCGAAAAUAAUAUAAAAGUGCUUAGUAAAUCCCAUUAAACAUCCAAAAUAGAUAAUAUAAUAGCAUGGAACAAUCAAAAUUAUAGAUACGUUGGAGACGUAUCAGGCCUCAAGCCAUUUCGCGGAAUCUGGGCUCAUCAUCGCUUCCUCAUAGUUCAUAGGUUCAUCAUGGUCUAGUAACAUGACUUCCAGAAUAGGAUCACCGUACCACUCUGGUGCGUACUGUACUCUGGUUGACCUAUGAGGUUCGGUAGUAACUUGAUCUGAAGAUUCAUGAUCAUCAUCAUUAGCUUCUUCACUAAUUGGUGUAGGAAUCACUAGAACUGAUUUCUAUGAUGAACUACUUUCCAAUUCGGGAGAAGGUACAAUUACCUCAUCAAGUUCUUCUUUCCUCCCACUCACUUCUUACGAGAGAAACUCCUUCUCUAGAAAGGAUCCAUUCUUAGCAACGAAUAUCUUGCUUUCGGAUCUGUGAUAGAAGGUGUACCCAACAGUUUUCUUUGGGUAUCCUAUGAAGACACAUUUCUCCGAUUUGGGUUCGAGCUUAUCGGGUUGAAGCCUUUUGACAUAAUCAUCGCAUCCCCAAACUUUAAGAAAAGACAACUUAGGUUUUCUACCAAAACACAGUUCAUAUGGUGUCGUCUCAACGGACUUUGAUGGCAUCCUAUUUAAAGUGAAUGUAGCUGUCUCCAAUGCAUAACCCCAAAAUGAUAUAGGUAAAUAGGUAAGAGACAUCAUAGAUCGCACCAUAUCCAAUAAAGUGCGGUUAUGAUGUUCGGACACACCAUUACACUGUGGUGUUCCAGGUGGCGUGAGUUGUGAAACUAUUCCACAUUGUUUUAAAUGAAGGCCAAACUCGUAACUCAAAUAUUCUCCUCCACGAUCAGAUUGUAGAAACUUUAUUUUCUUGUUACGAUGAUUCUCCACUUCACUCUGAAAUUCUUUGAACUUUUCAAAUGUUUCAGACUUGUGUUUCAUUAAGUAGAUAUACCCAUAUCUGCUUAAAUCAUCUAUGAAGGUCAGAAAAUAAUGAUACCUGCCACGAGCCUCAACACUUACCAGACCGCAUACAUUUGUAUGUAUUAUUUCCAAUAAUUCAUUAGCUCGUUCCAUUGUUCCGGAGAAUGGAGUUUUAGUCAUCUUGCCCAUAAGGCACGGUUCGCAAGUAUCAAAUGAUUCAUAAUCAAGUGAUUCCAAAAUCCCAUCGGUAUGGAGUUUCUUCAUGCGCUUUACACCAAUAUGACCUAAACGGCAGUGCCACAAGUCUGUUGCACUAUCAUUAUCAACUUUGCAUCUUUUGGCAUCAAUAUUAUGAAUAUGUAUAUUACUAUGAUCGAGAUUCAAUAAACCAUUAACAUUGGGUCUAUGACCAAAGAAGGUUUUAUUCAUGUAAACAGAAUAACAUUUUUUCUCCGUCUUGAAUGAAUAACCGUAUUGCAAUAAACAUGAGCUAAUCAUAUUUAUGCUCAAAGCAAACACCAAAUAACAUUUAUUUAGGUUCAACACUAAUCCCGAAAGUAUAAGGAGUGUGCGAUGAUGAUCAUAUCAAUCUUGGAACCACUUCCACCACACAUUGUCACUUCACUCUCAACUAGUCAAUGUUUAUUCUAUAACUCCUGAUUCGAGUUACUAAUCUUAGCAACCGAACAAGUAUCAAAUACCUAGGGGCUACUAUGAACACUAGUAAGGUACACGUCAAUAACCUGUAUAUCAAAUAUACAUUUGUUCACUUUGCCAUCCUUCUUAUCCACCAAAUGUUUGGGGCAGUUCUGCUUCGAGUGACCAUUUCCUUUGCAGUAGAAGCACUCAGUUUCAGGCUUGGGUCCAGCUUUGGGCUUCUUCCCGGGAGUGACAACUUGCUUGCCAUUCUACUUGAAGUUCCCUAUCUUUCUUGAAACUAGUGGUCUUGCCAAUCAUCAACACUUGAUGCUCUUUCUUGAUUUCUACCUUCGUCGAUUUCAGCAUCACAAAGAGCUCGGGAAUCAUUUUCGUCAUUCCUUGCAUACUAUAGUUCAUCACUAAGUUCUAGUAACUUGGUGAUGGUGACUAGAGAACUCUAUCAAUCACUAUCUUAUCUGGAAGAUUAACUCCCACUUGAUUCAAGCGAUUGUAGUACCCAUACAUUAUGAGCACAUGCUCACUAGCUGAGCAAUUCUCCUCCAUCUUUUAGGCGAAGUACUUGUCAGAGGUCUCAUACCUCUCGACACAGGCAUGAGUCUGAAAUACCAAUUUCAACUCUUGGAACAUCUCAUAUGUUCUGUGGCAUUCAAAACGUUUUUGAAGUCCUGUUUCUAAGCCGUAAAGCAUGGUGCACUAAACUAUCAAGUAGUCAUCAUUUGGAGCUAGCCAAACAUUCAUAACAUCUGCAUCUGCUCCUGCAAUAGGUCUAUCACCUAGCGGUGCAUCAAGGACAUAAUUCUUCUGUGUAGCAAUGAUGUCAGGACCCCGACUCAAUGCCACAUCGAUCUAGCAUGUAACACCUGAUAUCACUUUGUGGCCUCAUGCACGGUAUUCCCACGGGUGUCACCUUACCUUUGCCCGGGACCGUUUGCGCCUUUUGGCACACGUAUAUGAUAGUGUCGCUAGCAUCCAUAUGAUAAGGAGCCCGGGCUGACAUGGCUAGUCGUAAACCCAAAGUGGCACAGACUUACAGGGACAGGCAUCCAUGACCCAGCAUCGAACGUGUCGGUCAUCAGCGAGUGAAUCCAGGCUGUAGCACUGGGCUAGCAGGACUCCGGUGAACCGGGCUGUAGCGGCUAACAAGACUCCGGUAUUCAUCGCAUGACAUUACACCGAAGGGACAGACAUAGGAACGAAGAAGGACACAUGCCGGCCAGCCUAAGUGUUCCGGAGCAGUAGCAAGCUACCAUGGCUCAGUGAAACACUAGGAGACAUUUCCCGGUAAGAGAGGCUACUAAGGAUAAACAACUAGAUAGCCAGAUCCCACACAUACCAAGCAUUUCAAUAACAUACACACAAUAUGCUCGAUAUGUGCAAAUACAACAUGGCAUCACAAUAUGACUCUACAACUCAAGUAUUUAAUCAAUAGGCUCCGAGGAGCGAGAUAUUACAAAUAGGGGUCUCACGACCCAACAUUCAGAGCAUACAAGUCAAAGCACAAGUGGAAGCUAUCAUGUCUGAGUACAGACAUCUAUAAAUGAAAAAGGCUGAGAAGCCUGACUAUCUAUCAGAUCCUGCCGAGGGCACAAGAUCGUAGCUGAGGUAACAAGCUAAACGUCGAAGUCCACGCGGAACUACUAGCGAGACCGAAGUCUCUCUGCAAAAACAUAAAAUAGGCAAACGUGAUUACAAAUGUACCCAGCAAGACUUACAUCAGAACUAACUACAUAUGCAUCAUUAUCAACAAAGGGGUGGUAGGGUUUAACUGCAGCAAGCCAGCUUUGACUCGGUGGCUAUCCUAAACUACGACUGCGAGUAACUCUUUUGAGGUGGCGCACACGAGUCCACAUAUUCACCAUAUCAAUACACCGCUAUGGAUCCGCUCCCGUCUCCCUACGAGAACGCCAUCCAUAGCACUCACGCUUAUCUUGCGUAUUUUAGAGUAUCCACUUUCACUUGUCUAUGAACUGAUGUAAGCAACCCAGAAGUCCUUUUCCGCGGACACGGCUAUUCGAAUAGAUGAUGUUAACCCUGCAGGGGUGUACUUCUUCACACACGCUCUCACCACUUACCGCCGUUUACACGACAUGUACUCGGCAACCUUCAAGCGGAAGCCCAACGUGGGUGUCGGCCAUGGCCUACCUAAACACUCGAGUCUCUAGUCCAGGUUUAUCGCCUAUUCGGGUUCCAUCCAUGAGGAGAUCCGGCCGGAGUUUCGCUCACAGCCCCAAACGAUGUGUACAGGGUUCCGUGACACCAAACGGGCGCCCGGUUUACCCGGCCACGUGCCUACCGCAUCACAGCCCACCCCUAUGGUCAGCGCUGCGCACGGCCUCCAGCAUACUACAAACACGAGAAACUACUUGCAACUCCUGGACAGAGGACAAGGGUGAUCAAGAAGCCGAGAGGGUCCAUUGGUUUCGGGCCCAAUGCGUGGUAGUAGCUGAAUCAUGGAUCACAAACACAGAACUCAGUUCCUGAGGACGGCUGCAAUGAGACAACCCACCAUGUACUCCUACAUGGCCUCUCACCGCUACCUUUACCAAAUCGUAUUCACACACUUAGCUCACACACAGUAGGACAUGUUCACACACCUCUGAUUCAUCCCCGAUGAAUCAGACCUGACUCAACUCUAAGCAGUAGCAGGCAUGACAAACAAGCAUGAAUGAGUAGGCACAACAGGGCUCAAACAACUCCUACUCAUGCUAGUGGGUUUCAUCUAUUUACUGUGGCAUGAUAGGUCAUGCAAAGGAUAAAGGGGUUCAGCUACCGCAGCAAGUAACAGUUGAAUCGUUGUUGUCUUAAUGCAGUAAAAGAGAGCAGGGCGAGAGAGUAGGAUUGUAUCGGAAUGAACAAGGGGGUUUUGCUUGCCUGGCACUUCUGAAGAUAACAUUGAGUCUUCAUCAGUGUCAACGAUCACAUCGUCGGUACAACGUCUACCGAGGGAGAACAACACCGGCAAACACAGAAGAAACACGAUCAAUGCAAUGCACAAUAUGAUGCAUGCUAUGACAUGGCAAUAUGAAUGUGUUUUGGGAUAAUGCAUCUAGCAACACGUUAAAUGGGGUUGGUUUGAAUACAAGAUUCAAAUUCAAACUCCAUAUGUGAGAGUUUAAAUGCCAUUUAUUUGAUUUGUGCUAAACAGCAGCUAUAAGUUGUUCUAACAUGCAUGAAAAUGGUACAGAUGGAUUCCUUGAAUUUUUCUGAUAAUUUUUCAUAUAUAAAUUAUUUAAUUUGGAGUUACGGUUGAAUUUCUAUGAUUUAUUGAAGUUUAGGGCAUUUUCUGAAAUUUCCUGAAUAUUAAUAAUUCCAGUAAUUCAUUAAUGCGUCAGCCUGACGUCAGUGUGACGUCAGCAGGUCAACAGGGGCUGGUCCGGGUCAAACCUGACGUUCGGGACCCACAUGUCAGCUGCACAGUGAUUUAACAGAGUUUAAUUAACUUAACUAAAUUGUUAGCCGGGUUAAUUAAACGGUAGGGCCCACCGGUCAGUGGCCCUAGGCCUGGGUUAGCGGGGGUGGUUAGGCCCUAAUGACCGGCCACGUCGGAUUCGCCGGUGGUUGGACGACGGCGACGACCCAGAGCGGCGGUGGCUCGCCGGAGUUGCGCCAGAGACGACGGAUCGACGCGCCAAGGGCACCAGGAGGUAGCCCGUGCCCGUGCGCAUCUAGGGGAACCAACGGGAGGCGCGGGGGUGGCCGGGGUUCGCCGGAGUGGAGCCCGAGGCGGCGGCCGGAGCUCGGGGGUUCGCGGGACCGGCGCUGCGGUGCACGGGAGGACGAGUGGUUAGGUGCUUUGGGUUCCUAAGGUUGCGGUGAGCACGCCGGUGGGCUCGGAAGCGAGCUGCAGUGGCUGUGGCCACGACCACGCCAUGGCCGGCGGCGAGGAGCAAUCGGCUCCGGUGAAAAGGGCGGCUAGAGUACGGGAACGAGCGCGAGGAGGAGGGGGAAUGGAAGAGUAGCUCACAGCAGAUCUGGUGGAGGCAACGGCGAGGCCGGGGAGGGGCUGGAGCUCGCGAAUCCUCGAAAGUUUGCCGGCGGCCGAAGGUUGGGGGCGAGCUUGAGGGCGACGCUGCAGAGCUUCUGGAGGGCCGUGGAUCGGUGGGGAGGAAGAGGGGGUCGGGGCGGAGCUUCCUGGGGCGUCGGUGAGGCGUGGGGUGGCCGGUGGCCACGGUGGUUCUCGUCGGCGGCGGCGGGCGCGUUCGGUGAGGAGAACAGAGNNNNNNNNNNNNNNNNNNNNNNNNNNNNNNNNNNNNNNNNNNNNNNNNNNNNNNNNNNNNGCUUCCGGAGGGCCGUGGAUCGGUGGGGAGGAAGAGGGGGUCGGGGCGGAGCUUCCUGGGGCGUCGGUGAGGCGUGGGGUGGCCGGUGGCCACGGUGGUUCUCGUCGGCGGCGGCGGGCGCGUUCGGUGAGGAGAACAGAGGAGGGGGAGAGUGUUCCGGGGAGAGAGAGGAGAGGGGCACGGGGAGAGUAGGAGAGGGUCGAGGGGGCCGCGUGGCGUCACCGGGUCGUUGAGGAGGAGCCAAGCAGGCUGGGAGGGAGGAGGUGGCCGGGGCGCGUGGCCGCGCGCGCCGGGCGCGUGCCCGUCCUCCUGGCAGGGAGGAAGACGACAGGGGAGGGGUGGAGAUGGGCUGGGCCGGAGGUGUUGGGCCGUCCAGGUGGGCUUCGGUGAGCGCCAGGUAAGUCCAGGUAAGUUUCUGUUCUUUUAUUGUUUUUCUGUUUCUGUUUUAUACUUUGCCACUGUUUUUUUCAAAUUAAAACAAAUCCAAAACAGUGCCAGAUAUCCUCUGAAUAAUUUAUGUUGCUAGAUGGACUUUUCCAACAGCACAUAAAGCAUUUCAGAGUUAUUUGAAAAUAUAUCCCAUAUAUUAUGAAUAUAAUUCCAAAUUCAAAUACAAUAAUGAUUUAAAUUCAGUGCUCAAAAUAUUCCUCAAAAUGUUCAUUAUUUUUGGUUUGGUGCAAAACCCUUGCCAAAAUAUAACCAACAUUAUUUAAGGCCAUUUGGAAACAUUGAAUGCAUUUUCCAGGGUUCUUUGCCCCUCUUUUAUUUAAGUUUUUGAGGCUUCCAAAAUUCCUCAGUUCAAGUUUCAAAAAUUUAAACAUGAUGCACACAUGGAAGCAAACAUAGGUCAGGCCAGGACUAGGGAUGUGACAACUCACCCCCACUAAACAAAAAUCUCGUCCCGAGAUUUAAGCGUAGGGUAAGGUGAAGGGGGAACGCAACUAGCACAAUCUUCACGAUCCAGGUUGCACUUCAAAUGAACGUUGAUUCAAACACCAUCUUUGUCUCGAAGUCUUCCUCUGAGAACUCCAACUAACAUGUCAGCGAGAGGAAAGGGAAGACCCUAAAAGAAUUGUUCUUCUCGAAGGUCGAACAACUCAGGAUUAACCCACGGAUUGAGACAUAGCAACAUCUCUCGAGCCGAGAGACGAAGCACACAUCCAUAGGAAUGGAGUGAAGCAGAUGACAACGGUUCACUAGGUAGACAACAAUUUCACGCUUAAGAAGGUGGUAAAUGAUUGUCAACGUAGCGAGGAGUUUGAGUUGCCAUGAUACCAUAACGAUGCACCUUAGGGAAGGUGACUCGUAGAAAUAUCCCCUUAAGUAGCAAAAAGAAUUACCUUUGAUUCAAAGAUCCUUGAAACUCUUUAUACCAGCUUAAGGCAAAUCAUAAUCGAUCAUUUAGAGGGGUUCGGUAGAAUGGCAUACCCGAACUUGGAUGAUGUGGAUUACCUUGUUGAAGACAACGUAAUGGAUGAAUUUGCUUAUCACCGGAAAUGGAAGGGACCCAUGGUAGAAUGGCACAUUGGCGGUGCAAGCUGGGAACAAAAUGCAAAUGAUGGGAAUGAUUCUAGUAACUGGGGAGAGGCUCAACAAUAGAGAGUUAUUCCACUAUUGGAAUGGUUAUAGCAUUGCCGAGGUAACUGAGAGCACUCCAGUUAGUGUCGAUGAUAACACCUAGCGCUUGUGCGUGCUCUCAAGAACUUGAGCAUUUCCAUAUUCAUCAGGGUUUUACCAAUAUCUGUGUCAAGGAUCCUGGCAACACAACUUGCUACCACGAUGAAUGAUGAUGGAUGAUGCAGAUGCAAAGGAAGAUAACACUUCUCAGAUUUCAUUGCCAAGGAAAUAAAAUCUGGAUGAUCGACCGAGAGACAUUUAGCACUCCGCUUCUAAUGUUCUCCUUGAUGUGCUAGUGUAACCCAUUUAUAGAUAUGGUUUGAUAUCUAGAACAUCAAGUAAAGGUCGGACUUCGGGAGCACAAGAAUCCAUAAGGAACAACUAGGGAGGUAAAUCCUACGAAAUCCUUAUGGGGAGGUGGCCAACUUCCUCAAUCAAGAUACUAUAAUAACAGGUCUUCCGGCUGGGUGUGUUGGCCACGACAUCCACUUUACCGGUUUCCGAGGGACCGAUAUUAUAGUUCUUGGGAAAUGUUCCAAACCAUCAUAUCUGCCUGAGAUUCAUAUCUGGUUGGCGUCAGGAUAUUCCAGACUCAUCGAGCCUAGGAAGAAAAAUGAAAGUUUGCAACACAAAUCGACGAGAUGACGUUGCGAGAUUCUCGGGAAAUGGACUACGAUAGCGAGCUCCAAAACAUGAGCUGGUUCUGCUACACACAUGUGAACACGCUGUCCCAGACAAGCAUGACCACAUAGUAGUCUUAUAAUAAAACACUACCGAGUUCAGGAGGGGGAACCAUUAACGAGGGUAUCGAAGUCCUUACAUAAGUCUGGAUUAGCUCUUAUGAAGGAACUCCUUCUCCUUGAACAAAUCAAUCAGUGGCUUGGUGUGCUAGGGAUACAUAUAGAUUGAAGGUUGCAAGUCUUCAAACCACAGCAUUCUUCGCACGUGUGCAUGACUGAUUUGGAAUGAUUCCAAAGAAAGCAACAUUGACUUUCUCGAAUCCACGGCGGCAACUUCAUCAGAUGCACAUGAAUUAAAGGAAGUCACUACCUUCAUCCAAACAUAUGCUUCAUGAGCUAGCAUGAACAAAUGCUUUCAAAAGUUUCCAACACUAGCUUAAUGUUCAGCAAAAUCAUGGAGGAGAUAAGGAUGUUGUCAAUGGGCUCAACAACAAUUCAUCUAGGUUUCCUUUUAAAAGGAAUUCCAUAGUUAAGUGCACACGGUGAUAGCAUUGGUCAUACCAAAGAUGUAAUGGUGUAUGCUCGAGGGAUCAACCACGAAUAAGACAACAUUACGAGCAUUGUUGGUACUGAUUUGAUUUGACGAUAGCCCACACUCAAAUCAAAGGAUUGAUAAGACAAUAGGUCCAGCAACUGAUCACAGGGACCAAUCGAUGAAGAUAUCAUCUUUCUUCAACACACACUACACAAGAAUAUCCCUUUGGAACGAACUAAGUUAGGCAAGCUUUUAUCUUCCAAUUCUCCAAGUUGUUGUCUAGCUUAACCAACUAGCUCAGGGAUAUCCAACACAGAUUCUUGGAGAAAGGGUGGUUCUCCAGAAACCAACUUGAUCACGAGCUCAACAUAACAGUCAGGAAACAACCCGGUAACACUUCCAAGAAGAUAUUUGGAAAGUCACGAACCACCGGUAUGUUACUAAGCUCGAGAACAAUCUUGCUUUUGAGGGCAAGACGACAUGAUCAAAUGAGUGAGGACUUGAAAUAAUUUCUAACUCAUUGGCCGAGGAGUGCACCAGAAAUAGGGACUAGGUAGCACAAUCAAUCUUAGGGUGACGAUUCAAUAAUCAACACGCUUAGAAUGAGGUUAUCGUCCAUUUAACUACCAAGCAACAGGGUUGCUAGCAAUAUUGAUUUCACACGCCAUGAUUCAUUUGUCGGCAUUCCGGUUACAAUAACACAGGAACCGAGGAAUGAACAAUGAUGGCAAGAAGUAUCACUGUACCAAGAGUUCAUAGGAUGGUGUGCAAUUCCUAUAACAAUCUCGAUAUAAAAUAUGUAAUACUCCAAGGUAGAGCAGAACAAAAGAUGGAUUAGCAAUUUGAUCUGCGGAGCACAACUUCUUUGACCCAAUCCUAGAUAGGGAAGAGGUAUUGGAGUUUGUUUCUCCUAGUCAUUCCGUGAUAGAAUGGCUUGACGGACCACAAGAGUAAUAGGCAUCGAUAAACGAACGCACGCAUACUCUUGACUAUCAAUUGAUAGACGAAGAUCAGUAGACAACUAAAGAGGGACAACUCAAAGGAACAUAUAACUUUCUGAGUUGUGGAUGCAUAGAUUAGUAUGUCGAACCAAGUUCAACAUAAUUCUUCCGGAUAACCCAUGCAGAAAGGUUGAGCUGGCAGAGUCACAAUAUAGCAUGGAGAACUCAUCGAGAGCACUCUUGUUGUCAUCUUUUGGUUCAGAAGAACUCCUGCCAAGAAUGGUUCAUGGUAAUUGGAAGAAGGAUGUACCACGAACCUCGAGAACUAUCGCAAAGGUUACUAAUAUCCUAAAGGAACUAGCAAACACUAUCAACAUGAGGUAAGUAGAGUGAAUCUCGGGUUCAAAACCCAGGAGUAGAAUACCUACUACUAAGUAGCAUCACGGAAUGCUUUCAAGAAUAAAGGCCAGAAUCAUCACACUAGGACACAAAUCAUGGCUAGACCACUAGAUGAUCCCCUGAGACACCUAGGGUCAUAAUAAUAAUUCCAACAUAAAUGCCAAGGCAAUAGAAUACCUCAACUCAACAAUUAGUGUGAUUGAGCUGGCAUAAAGGAACAUCGAAACCAGAGGGAAAGGAUUUUGCAAAUGCAUCAGACUAUUUAGAAACCUGGGAUGACUCGGACAGCAUAACGGCUGUAAAUGCUCAGAAAAGAUUUGAGACAUACUACAAAAUGGUGGCAUAACCACUCAGAAGCACAAUAUCAAGGUUCCGAGAUCAACAAUUAACAUACGGAAGUAGUAGGAACUGAACUGAGACUUAAAUCCAACAAUCUUAUAAGUCUACUGAUUAGUAACACGUGAUCCUAAUAGAAAGAAGAGAUAGCCUAGUUCUUAAUCCCCGUAGAAGAUAAGAUGAUGACUCAGAUCAGAAGGCCAUGAGGUAUAAGGAGUAAAAAGAGCCUUACGUUCCAUCCCACAAUCAAUUCCCUUAUAUAACUAAAGAAUUUCUAGACUCAACUUCGACCAGUUUGGCUUGGUAAUCCUACAGGCAGUCAAGCUCUGAUACCAACGCUGUCAGGACCCCGACUCAAUGCCACAUCGAUCUAGCAUGUAACACCUCAUAUCACUUUGCGGCCUCACGCACGGUAUUCCCACGGGUGUCGCCUUACCUUUGCCCGGGACCGUUUGCGCCUUUUGGCACACGUAUAUGAUAGUGUCGCUAGCAUCCAUAUGAUAAGGAGCCCGGGCUGACAUGGCUAGUCGUAAACCCAAAGUGGCACAGACUUACAGGGACAGGCAUCCAUGACCCAGCAUCGAACGUGUCGGUCAUCAGCGAGUGAAUCCAGGCUGUAACACUGGGCUAGCAGGACUCCGGUGAACCGGGCUGUAGCGGCUAACAGGACUCCGGUAUUCAUCGCGUGACAUUUCCCUGAAGGGACAGACACAGGAACGAAGAAGGACACAUGCCGGCCAGCCUAAGUGUUCCGGAGCAGUAGCAAGCUACCAUGGCUCAGUGAAACACUAGGAGACAUUUCCCGGUAAGAGAGGCUACUAAGGAUAAACAACUAGAUAGCCAGAUCCCACACAUACCAAGCAUUUCAAUAACAUACACACAAUAUGCUCGAUAUGUGCAAAUACAACAUGGCAUCACGACAUGACUCUACAACUCAAGUAUUUAAUCAAUAGGCUCCGAGGAGCGAGAUAUUACAAACAGGGGUCUCACGACCCAACAUUCAGAGCAUACAAGUCAAAGCACAAGCGGAAGCUAUCAUGUCUGAGUACAGACAUCUAUAAAUGAAAAAGGCUGAGAAGCCUGACUAUCUAUCAGAUCCUGCCGAGGGCACAAGAUCGUUGCUGAGGUAACAAGCUAAACGUCGAAGUCCACGCGGAACUACUAGCGAGACCGAAGUCUCUCUGCAAAAACAUAAAAUAGGCAAACGUGAGUACAAAUGUACCCAGCAAGACUUACAUCAGAACUAACUACAUAUGCAUCAUUAUCAACAAAGGAGUGGUGGGGUUUAACUGCAGCAAGCCAGCUUUGACUCGGUGGCUAUCCUAAACUACAACUGCGAGUAACUCUUUUGAGGUGGCGCACACGAGUCCACAUAUUCACCAUAUCAAUACACCACUAUGGAUCCGCUCCCGUCUCCCUACGAGAACGCCAUCCAUAGCACUCACGCUUAUCUUGCGUAUUUUAGAGUAUCCACUUUCACUUGUCUAUGAACUGAUAUAAGCAACCCAGAAGUCCUUUUCCGCGGACACGGCUAUUCGAAUAGAUGAUGUUAACCCUGCAGGGGUGUACUUCUUCACACACGCUCUCACCACUUACCGCCGUUUACACGACAUGUACUCGGCAACCUUCAAGCGGAAGCCCAACGUGGGUGUCGGCCACGGCCUACCUAAACACUCGAGUCUCUAGUCCAGGUUUAUCGCCUAUUCGGGUUCCAUCCAUGAGGAGAUCCGGCCGGAGUUUCGCUCACAGCCCCAAACGAUGUGUACAGGGUUCCGUGACACCAAACGGGCGCCCGGUUUACCCGGCCACAUGCCUACCGCAUCACAGCCCACCCCUACGGUCAGCGCUGCACACGGCCUCCAGCAUACUACAAACACCAGAAACUACUUGCAACUCCUGGACAGAGGACAAGGGUGAUCAAGAAGCCGAGAGGGUCCAUUGGUUUCGGGCCCAAUGCGUGGUAGUAGCUGAAUCAUGGAUCACAAACACAGAACUCAGUUCCUGAGGACGGCUGCAAUGAGACAACCCACCAUGUACUCCUACAUGGCCUCUCACCGCUACCUUUACCAAAUCGUAUUCACACACUUAGCUCACACACAGUAGGACAUGUUCACACACCUCUGAUUCAUCCCCGAUGAAUCAGACCUGACUCAACUCUAAGCAGUAGCAGGCAUGACAAACAAGCAUGAAUGAGUAGGCACAACAGGGCUCAAACAACUCCUACUCAUGCUAGUGGGUUUCAUCUAUUUACUGUGGCAUGACAGGUCAUGCAAAGGAUAAAGGGGUUCAGCUACCGCAGCAAGUAACAAUUGAAUCGUUGUUGUCUUAAUGCAGUAAAAGAGAGCAGGGCGAGAGAGUAGGAUUGUAUCGGAAUGAACGAGGGGGUUUUGCUUGCCUGGCACUUCUGAAGAUAACAUUGAGUCUUCAUCAGUGUCAACGAUCACAUCGUCGGUACAACGUCUACCGAGGGAGAACAACACCGGCAAACAUAGAAGAAACACGAUCAAUGCAAUGCACAAUAUGAUGCAUGCUAUGACAUGGCAAUAUGAAUGUGUUUUGGGCUAAUGCAUCUAGCAACACGUUAAAUGGGGUUGGUUUGAAUACAAGAUUCAAAUUCAAACACCAUAUGUGAGAGUUUAAAUGCCAUUUAUUUGAUUUGUGCUAAACAGCAGCUAUAAGUUGUUCUAACAUGCAUGAAAAUUGUACAGAUGGAUUCCUUGAAUUUUUCUGAUAAUUUUUCAUAUAUAAAUUAUUUAAUUUGGAGUUACGGUUGAAUUUCUAUGAUUUAUUGAAGUUUAGGGCAUUUUCUGAAAUUUCCUGAAUAUUAAUAAUUCCAGUAAUUCAUUAAUGCGUCAGCCUGACGUCAGUGUGACGUCAGCAGGUCAACAGGGGCUGGUCCGGGUCAAACCUGACGUUCGGGACCCACAUGUCAGCUGCACAGUGAUUUAACAGAGUUUAAUUAACUUAACUAAAUUGUUAGCCGGGUUAAUUAAACGGUAGGGCCCACCGGUCAGUGGCCCUAGGCCUGGGUUAGCGGGGGUGGUUAGGCCCUAAUGACCGGCCACGUCGGAUUCACCGGCGGUUGGACGACGGCGACGACCCAGAGUGGCGGUGGCUCGCCGGAGUUGCGCCAGAGACGACGGAUCGAUGCGCCAAGGGCACCAGGAGGUAGCCCGUGCCCGUGCGCAUCUAGGGGAACCAACGGGAGGUGCGGGGGUGGCCGGGGUUCGCCGGAGUGGAGCCCGAGGCGGCGGCCGGAGCUCGGGGGUUCGCGGGACCGGCGCUGCGGUGCACGGGAGGACGAGUGGUUAGGUGCUUUGGGUUCCUAAGGUUGCGGUGAGCACGCCGGUGGGCUCGGAAGCGAGCUGCGGUGGCUGUGGCCACGGCCACGCCAUGGCCGGCGGCGAGGAGCAAUCGGCUCCGGUGAAAAGGGCGGCUAGAGUACGGGAACGAGCGCGAGGAGGAGGGGGAAUGGAAGAGUAGCUCACAGCGGAUCUGGUGGAGGCAACGGCGAGGCCGGGGAGGGGCUGGAGCUCGCGAAUCCUCGAAAGUUCGCCGGCGGCCGAAGGUUGGGGGCGAGCUUGAGGGCGACGCUGCAGAGCUUCUGGAGGGCCGUGGAUCGGUGGGGAGGAAGAGGGGGUCGGGGCGGACCUUCCUGGGGCGUCGGUGAGGCAUGGGGUGGCCNNNNNNNNNNNNNNNNNNNNNNNNNNNNNNNNNNNNNNNNNNNNNNNNNNNNNNNNNNNNNNNNNNNNNNNNNNNNNNNNNNNNNNNNNNNNNNNNNNNNNNNNNNNNNNNNNNNNNNNNNNNNNNNNNNNNNNNNNNNNNNNNNNNNNNNNNNNNNNNNNNNNNNNNNNNNNNNNNNNNNNNNNNNNNNNNNNNNNNNNNNNNNNNNNNNNNNNNNNNNNNNNNNNNNNNNNNNNNNNNNNNNNNNNNNNNNNNNNNNNNNNNNNNNNNNNNNNNNNNNNNNGCUUCCGGAGGGCCGUGGAUCGGUGGGGAGGAAGAGGGGGUCGGGGCGGAGCUUCCUGGGGCGUCGGUGAGGCGUGGGGUGGCCGGUGGCCACGGUGGUUCUCGUCGGCGGCGGCGGGCGCGUUCGGUGAGGAGAACAGAGGAGGGGGAGAGUGUUCCGGGGAGAGAGAGGAGAGGGGCACGGGGAGAGUAGGAGAGGGUCGAGGGGGCCGCGUGGCGUCACCGGGGCGUCGAGGAGGAGCCAAGCAGGCUGGGAGGGAGGAGGUGGCCGGGGCGCGUGGCCGCGCGCGCCGGGCGCGUGCCCGUCCUCCUGGCAGGGAGGAAGACGACAGGGGAGGGGUGGAGAUGGGCUGGGCUGGAGGUGUUGGGCCAUCCAGGUGGGCUUCGGUGAGCGCCAGGUAAGUCCAUGUAAGUUUCUGUUCUUUUAUUGUUUUUCUGUUUCUGUUUUAUACUUUGCCACUGUUUUUUUCAUAUUAAAACAAAUCCAAAACAGUGCCAGAUAUCCUCUGAAUAAUUUAUGUUGCUAGAUGGACUUUUCCAACAGCACAUAAAGCAUUUCAGAGUUAUUUGAAAAUAUAUCCCAUAUAUUAUGAAUAUAAUUCCAAAUUCAAAUACAAUAAUGAUUUAAAUUCAGUGCUCAAAAUAUUCCUCAAAAUGUUCAUUAUUUUUGGUUUGGUGCAAAACCCUUGCCAAAAUAUAACCAACAUUAUUUAAGGCCAUUUUGGAAACAUUGAAUGCAUUUUCCAGGGUUCUUUGCCCCUCUUUUAUUUAAGUUUUUGAGGCUUCCAAAAUUCCUCAGUUCAAGUUUCAAAAAUUUAAACAUGAUGCACACAUGGAAGCAAACAUAGGUCAGGCCAGGACUAGGGAUGUGACAAAUGACGAUAAACCUCAGAUCACAGACCCGGUCCGCAUCAUUGCUACUAUCAUCUUUCAACUUAGUUUUCUCUAGGAACAUAUAAAAAAACAUAGGGAAGCUACAACGCGAGCUAUUGAUCUACAACAUAAUUUGCAAAAUACUAUCAGGACUAAGUUCAUGAUAAAUUAAAGUUCAAUUAAUAUUAUUACUUAAGAACUCCCACUUAGAUAGACAUCCCUCUAGUCAUCUAAAUGAUCACGUGAUCCAUAUCAACUAAACCAUGUCUGGUCAUCACGUGAGAUGGAGUAGUUUUCAAUGGUGAACAUCUUAUGUUGAUCAUAUCUACUAUAUGAUUCAUGCUCGACCUUUCGGUCUCCAGUGUUCCAAGGCCAAAUCUGCAUAUGCUAGGAUCCUCAAGUUUAACCCAAGUAUUCUACACGUGCAAAACUGGCUUGCACCCAUUGUAUGUGAACGUAGAGCUUAUCACACCCGAUCAUCACGUGGUGUCUUGGCACGAGGAACUGUAGCAAUGGUGCAUACUCAGGGAGAACACUUAUACCUUGAAAUUUAGUGAGGGAUCAUCUUAUAAUGCUACUGCCGUAUUAAGAAAAAUAAGAUGCAUAAAAGAUAAACAUCACAUGCAAUCAAAAUAUGUGACAUGAUAUGGCAAUCACUUGUGCUCAUGAUCUGCAUCACCGAAGCAUCGUCAUGAUCUCCAUCAUCACCGGCUUGACACCUUGAUCUCCAUCGUAGCAUCGUUGUCGUCUCGCCAACUACUGCUACUACAAAUAUUGCUACUGCUUAGUGAUAAAGUAAAGCAAUUACAUGGCGAUUGUAUUUCAUACAAUAAAGCGACAACCAUAUGGCUCCUGCCAGUUGCCGAUAACUCUGUUACAAAACAUGAUCAUCUCAUACAACAAUUUAUAUCUCAUCAUGUCUUGACCAUAUCACAUCACAACAAGCGCUGCAAAAACAAGUUAGACAUCCUCUAAUUUGUUGUUGCAAGUUUUAUGUGGCUGCUACGGGCUUCUAGCAAGAACCGUUCUUACCUAUGCAUCAAAACCACAACGAUUUUUUUGUCAAGUGUGCUGUUUUAACCUUCAACAAGGACCGGCCGUAGUCAAACUUGAUUCAACUAAAGUUGGAGAAACAGACACCCACCAGCCACCUAUGUGCAAAAGCACGUCGGUAGAACCAGUCUCAUGAACACAGUCAUGUAAUGUCGGUCCAUGCCGCUUCAUCCAACAAUUUCGCCGAAUCAAAGUAAGGCGUUGGUGGUAAGCAGUAUGACCAUUAUCGCCCACAACUCUUUGUGUUCUACUCGUGCAUAAAACAUCUAUGCAUAGACCUGGUUCGGAUGUGAUUGAUGGGGAACAUAGCAUUCAAUUUAAAAAAUUUCCUACGAUCACGCAAGAUCUAUCUAGGAGAUGCAUAGCAACAAGACGGGAGAGUGUGUCCACGUACCCUCAUAGACCAAAAGCGGGAGCGUUUAGUAACACGGUUGAUGUAGUCGGACGUCUUCACGAUUCAACGGAUCCAGCACACGUUCAACACGAUGACGUCCCUCGUGCUUUUGAUCUAGUUGAGGACAAGGGAGAACUUCGUCAGCACGAUGGUGUGGCGACGGUGUUGAUGAUGUUACCGACGUAGGGAUUCACCUAAGCACUAGGACGAUAUGACCGAGGUGUUAAACUAUGGAGGGUGGCACCGCACAUGGCUAAGAGAUUGUCUAUUGUGCUUUGGGGUGCCCCCCUGGCCACGUAUAUAAAGGAGGGAGGGAGGAGGUCGACAGACUAGGAGGGGCGCGCCAAAAGGGGGGAGUCCUACUAGGACUCCCUAGUCCUAGUAGGAUUCCCCUUCCCUUUCCUUUCCGGAAUAGGAGAAGAGGGAAAGAGGUGGAUGAGAAGGAGGAAAGGGGGGCCGCGCCCCACCCCUAGUCCAAUUUGGUUUGGGCUAGCGGGGCGCGCGCCUCCACCUGGCCACUGCCUCCUCUCUUCCAGUAAGGCCCAUGAAGGCCCAUUAAUCCCCCGGGGGGUUCCGGUAACCUCCCGGUACUCUGGAAAAUGUCUGAACCUUUCUGAAACCUUUUUGGUGUCCGAACAUAACCUUCCAAUAUAUCAAUGUUUAUGUCUCGACCAUUUCGAGACUCCUCGUCAUGUACGUGAUCUCAUCCGGGACUCUGAACAAACUUCGGUCAUCAAAUCACAUAACUCAUAAUACAAAUCGUCAUCGAACGUUAAGCGUGUGGACCCUACGGGUUCGAGAACUAUGUAGACAUGAUCGAGACUCAUCUCCGAUCAAUAACUAAUAGAAGAACCUGGAUGCUCAUAUUGGUUCCUACAUAUUCUAUGAACAUCUUUAUCGGUCAAACCGCAUAACAACAUACGUCAUUCCCUUUUUCAUCGGUAUGUUACUUGCCCGAGAUUCGAUCGUCGGUAUCAUCAUACCUAGUUCAAUCUCGUUACCGGAAAGUCUCUUUACUCGUUUUGUAAUGCUUGAUCCCGCAACUAACUCAUUAGUCACAUUGCUUGCAAGGCUUAUAAUGAUGAGCAUUACCGAGAGGGCCCAGAGAUACCUCUCCAAUACACGGAGUGACAAAUUCUAAUCUCGAUCUAUGCCAACCCAACAAACACCUUCGUAGAUACCUGUAGAGCAUCUUUAUAAUCACCUAGUUACGUUGUGACGUUUGAUAGCACACGAGGUGUUCCUUCGGUAUUCGGGAGUUGCAUAAUCUCAUAGUCAGAGGAACAUGUAUAAGUCAGGAUGAAAGCAGUAGCAAUAAAACUGUAACGAUCAUAAUGCUAAGCUAACGAAUGGGUCAUGUCCAUCACAUCAUUCUCUAAUGAUAUGAUCCCGUUCAUCAAAUGACAACACAUGCCUACGGUGAGGAAAUAUAACCAUCUUUGAUUAACGAGUUAGUCAAGUAGAGGCAUACUAGGGACACUUUGUUUUGUCUAUGUAUUCACACAUGUACUAAGUUUCCGGUUAAUACAAUUCUAGCAGGAAUAAUAAGCAUUUAUCAUGAUAUAAGGAAAUAUAAAUAAAAACUUUAUUAUUGCCUCUAAGGCAUAUUUCCUUCAAAUUCCUAGUGGCAAAACUAAGUAGCGGGACACAACUGGUGGCAUAACUGAUAAAAAAACCCUUGAAAAAGCUGUUGUUUAGGGCACUUUGGUAAAAAAACUACUCCAACAGCUAAUGUUUCUUUAGAUGGCGAUGCCAAUUUUGUGGGACAACCUUUAAUUUUGCACCCCCCUAUUGCAUAUUUGCAGUGCCCGCUACUUCCUGCCACAAAACCAAAACACACUCGUGAAAGCCAACAGCGCUAAACCCUAAGUUCCCUCGCCACCACCUUCGUUAUUCGCCCCAGGCCCAACCGUCACCCUGCCGCUCAUUCCCACAGCUCCAGACGUCCGUUCCCGCCGUUGAAUCCAUCGGUCGUUGUUCGAUUUGCAUUGAUUCCAACAGUUUCUCGCCUCUUUGUCAUCCGAUAUGGUUGCCGCAACACCAGGGCUCACCUUCGAGGCCGAAUAGUUGUCAACCUUUCCCCCAAGUGAUCGGUGUGGCCACCGCCAAGCCAUUUCUAUUCCAAGCUCUCGGUUAUCAGCCGGCACAAUGAGGGUGGCUUUGCCCAAGAUCCACAGCUUCCCUACAAUGGUAGGAGCACCAGAAACACAUUCCUAGCCGUCCGGGCGACCGCCUCAGCCCCGGCGUGCUACGGCAGCCGGAUUUCAUCUUCUCACCAACUAGGUGUAGAUAGUGAGCUAACACAUUCUAUUCUACAUUAACGUGGUUCCCAUAUUUUGUUCUCUUUUAUGUGCAAAUAUCUACCAAUUUAACUUGCAAGUUUCGAAGUUGGUAUUCCUAAUACUCCUUCAAACAUUGAACCUUGGUUGAUAACUGGAAUGAAUCAAAUAUUAUUGUUGCAACCGACCGCUCAUCCUAUUUUGCGACUAAUCCAAUUGCACUUCAGAUGGAAGUACUUCAUCAAUCUAGUGGAAAUGAUGUCGGCAUUUAUAAUCCUUGUUUCCGGGGCAUGGUAUGACUUUUACUUAUCUAACCCAAAUUCAGGAUUCUAAAUCUCACGUGACUUAAGCUUUUCUCAUUUUUCAUAUACAUGUUUAAUACAAAGCGACAAAAGAUGAAUAUCCAUUACACCUAGAUCUUUUGUAGUCACUACUCAUUAGUGACACAGUGCAUUAGAGUUGAUAAAAUAUCUGUAAUUUUUUCUUUUAGGCUUUUACAUGUGAACAAUGUGAGUUUGUUUCCGGUGUAACAUUAAGAAUGGCUUUUGCUACCAUUGUUGUGGAAUUUUGAGUGUGACGCCCGGAUAAUUAGGCUACAGUAACCCCAUGUUAACGAUGCCACGUCACCUCAGAUUACUUUUGGUAAUCUCGCGUUAGUUUGAAACGAUUCAUAUUCAAAAUUUGAAUUUAAGUUAAACAAUUAAAGUUUUGAAAAGUCAAAACUAAAUUGUUCCUAAUGUGUCAAAUAAUCCUUAGUAAAUGUUGGUGGAUAAAUUAUCUUUUAAUAAAAUAUUUAAAUGCACUAAAGUAAUAGAGAUGACAGCAAAAAAAAUUAAUUAGAUGCCUUCUAUAAAGUUAUAAUAAUAAAACUAAAUUAAUAGUGUGCCAAAAUAAUUGUGGCAGUGGACUGAUUAGUAAUACUAAUUUAGGUGCUGACUGGGUAUUUUAUAAAACUAAAAUAAAAGAAACUUUAAAUGAAAACAGUAAAGAAAAUAAGUAAAAAGAAAUAAAAAGAAAAGCAAACCCCCCAUCACUGGGCUCCGGCCCAGCAGGCCACCAGCCCAACUGGGCAAAGGCCCAACCGGCCGGCCCACCCCACUCCCUUAACCCCCUGGUGCCGAAACCCUAGGCACCGACACCCCCCCACUCCCCAAUCGCGCCCCCACUCUCCCUCCCCCCGAUCCCCUCCUGGAUCGGGAUCGAGCNNNNNNNNNNNNNNNNNNNNNNNNNNNNNNNNNNNNNNNNNNNNNNNNNNNNNNNNNNNNNNNNNNNNNNNNNNNNNNNNNNNNNNNNNNNNNNNNNNNNNNNNNNNNNNNNNNNNNNNNNNNNNNNNNNNNNNNNNNNNNNNNNNNNNNNNNNNNNNNNNNNNNNNNNNNNNNNNNNNNNNNNNNNNNNNNNNNNNNNNNNNNNNNNNNNNNNNNNNNNNNNNNNNNNNNNNNNNNNNNNNNNNNNNNNNNNNNNNNNNNNNNNNNNNNNNNNNNNNNNNNNNNNNNNNNNNNNNNNNNNNNNNNNNNNNNNNNNNNNNNNNNNNNNNNNNNNNNNNNNNNNNNNNNNNNNNNNNNNNNNNNNNNNNNNNNNNNNNNNNNNNNNNNNNNNNNNNNNNNNNNNNNNNNNNNNNNNNNNNNNNNNNNNNNNNNNNNNNNNNNNNNNNNGAUCGAGCCCCCCCACACUCUCUCACCCCCGCUCGAUCUGUAUGCCUGCUCCCUUGCUGCCUCCGACCCCGGUGCGCCGACGCCGCUCGUCGUCUCCGGUGCCGCCUGCUACCUCGCCCCCACCUCCUCGACGCCGCACCACCGUUGGACCUCGCCGGACGUCAUCACUGGACUGCAUCCUCGUCGCCACGCCGUCGUCCCCGUCCUCCUCCUCGUCACUCGCUGCCUAGUCCCUACGCACCUCCGUGAGCUUCCUCCCUUCUCCCUGUUUUCGUCGCUGUAGGCCAAGCCCCUAGCCGCACCCACUGCCGCCCUGUCGCUGCACACCUUGGACACUGUCCGCGCCCGGACACGCCCCUGCACCGAGGUCACCGCUUCCGACUGCGUGUGCCGUGCGCCCCUGGCGCAUCCAUGCCAUGUGCUCCUCCGCGCCUCUUCUCCCCCCCGCUCCGUCGCUGCGGCUCACCGCCGCCCCGCGCUCCUCCGCCCGAGCAUCGCCUUGCAGCGCGCCACCACUCCACACUCCACCUCGCCCCAACCAACGCUGUCGCCGAGCUUCUCGUCGCAAGCCGUGUCCGCCGUUUCCCUGCACUGUCCGCUGGGUCGGGUGCUCGCAUCGCCAAGCGCCCGAAUCCCCCGUGCCCGUAACCGCUAUGGCCUUUGGCCCAUUGACAGUCGGGACCCACAACCCAGAAAGUUUUAUAAAAAAAAGAUUUAAGAAAAAUAUUUAUUAAAAUAAUAAUUAAUUAAUUAUUUAAUUAGCUUAAAUAAUUUUGUUUAGAUUAACCUAAUCAUUAGGUAAACUAAUUAACUUUGGUUAAUUAACCUGCUAAUUAAACAGUGUAUGACAUGCGGGACCCACCAUCAGAUUGACCCAGUCAACACGUGUUGACUACUUACGUCAGCAUGACAUCGUGCUGAUGUCAUAAAUCCAAAUUUAGAAUUAAAAUAAUUAGAUAAAUGCUAAAAAUGAUUUAAAUAUUUUAAAAUCAAUAUAAAAUAAACCGUAGCUCGGAUGUAAAAACUUUGUACAUGAAAGUUGCUCAGAGCGACGAGACGAAUCCGGAUACGCAGCCUGUUCGUCCGCCACACACCCCUAACAUAUCGAACACACAACUUUCCCCCCUCCGGUUCAUCUGUCCGGGAACGCAAAACACCGGGGAUACUUUCCCGGAUGCCCCCCCCUUUCGCCGGUAUCACCUCCUACCGCGUUAGGGCAUACCUAGUACCGCGUAUUGCCUUGUUAUAUUUUAUGAUGCUUUUUUGCUCCAUAUUUACUGUUUCUUCCCCCCUCUUCUUCUCCGGUAGACCCCGAGACUGGUGUUGAUGCGAUUGAGUACGACUACAUCACCGACAACCCCUCCUUGCCAAAGCAACUAGGCAAGCCCCCCCUUGAUCACCAGAUAUUGCCUAUUCUCCUCUAUACUGCUUGCAUUAGAGUAGUGUAGCAUGUUACUGCUUUCCGUUAAUCCUAUUCUGAUGCAUAGCCUGACAUUGUUGCUACAUCUGUUGAUACCUUACCUACAAUCCUAAAUACUUAGUAUAGGAUGCUAGUUUAUCAUCAUUGGCCCUACAUUCUUGUCAGUCUGCCUUGCUAUACUAUUGGGCCGUGAUCACUCAGGAGGUGAUCACGGGUAUAUACUAUACGUACAUACAUACAGUAUAGAUGGUGACUAAAGUCGGGUCAGCUCGAUGAGUACCCGCAAGUGAUUCUGAUGAGGGGGCUAAAAGGAUAGGUGGCUCCAUCCCGGUAGAGGUGGGCCUGGGUUUCCGACGCCCCCCGACUGUUACUUGGUGGCGGAGCGACAUGGCAGGUUGAGACCACCUAGGAGACAGGUGGGCCUGGCCCUGGUCGGCGUUCGCGGUUGCUUCACAAUAACACGCUUAACGAGAUCUUGGUAUUUGAUCUGAGUCUGGCCACUUGCCUAUACGCACUAACCAACUACGUGGGAAAGAUAUGGGCACUCGACGUCGUGGUAUCAGCCGAAGCCUUCUAGACGUCAGCGACUGAGCGGCGCGCGCCAGAUUGGAACGUAAGCCUGCUCUUGUAUUAAGGGGGCUAGUUCUGCUUUCGGCCGCCCUCGCAACGUGCAGGUGUGCAAUGGGCGAUGGGCCCAGACCCCUGCGGCAUAGGAGUUAGACCGGCGUGCUAACCUCUCUGUUAGGCCUAGGUGGGGCUGCGACGUGUUGAUCUUCCGAGGCCGGGCAUGACCCAGGAAAGUGUGUCCGGCCAAAUGGGAUCGAGCAUGUUGGGUUAUGUGGUGCACCCCUGCAGGGAAGUUAAUCUAUUCGAAUAGCCGUGAUCUUCGGUAACAGGACGACUUGGAGUUGUACCUUGACCUUAUGACAACUAGAACUGGAUACUUAAUAAAACACACCCUUCCAAGUUCCACAGACAACCCGGUGAUCGCUUUUCCACAGGGCGACGAGGGGAGGAUCGCCGGGUAGGAUUAUGCUAUGCGAUGCUACUGGAGAUGCUACUUGGAGGACUUCAAUCUACUCUCUUCCACAUGCUGCAAGACGGAGGCUGCCAGAAGCGUAGUCUUCUACAGGAUUAGUUAUCCCCUUCUUAUUCUGGCAUUCUGCAGUUCAGUCCACUGAUAUGGCCCUUUACACAUAUACACAUGCAUAUGUAGUGUAGUUCCUUGCUUGCGAGUACUUUGGAUGAGUACUCACGGUUGCUUUCUCCCCCCUUUUCCCCCUUUCCUUUCUUUCUGGUUGUCGCAACCAGAUGCUGGAGUCCAGGAGCCAGACGCCACCGUCGACGACGACUCCUACUACACCGCAGGUGCCUACUACUACGUGCAGCCCGCUGACGACGACCAGGAGUAGUUAGGAGGAUCCCAGGCAGGAGGCCUGUGUCUCUUUCGAUCUGUAUCCCAGUUUGUGCUAUCCUUCUUAAGGCAAACUUGUUUAACUUAUGUCUGUACUCAGAUAUUGUUGCUUCCGCUGACUAGUCUAUGAUCGAGCACUUGUAUUCGAGCCUCGAGGCCCCUGGCUUGUAUUAUGAUGCUUGUAUGACUUAUUUAUGUUUUAGAGUUGUGUUGUGAUAUCUUCCCGUGAGUCCCUGAUCUUGAUCGUACACAUUUGCGUGCAUGAUUAGUGUACGAUUGAAUCGGGGGCAUCACAAGUUCGUAUCAGAGCCGACUGCCUGUACGAAUCCCCCUUCCACACUCCUUGGCCGAAGUCGAGUCUAGACAUUGCAAAACUGUUGUACUAACAUGGCUGUGCGGCCCAUGGGCCCACGUCGCCAUUUGGGUGGUAUUAGGAUAUUUUAUUCUUCGUCCUAUACUCUGGGACUCUAUCAUCUCUUCUAUUCAGGUUAAAUGAUUUUUGCUAACUUUAACACUAGGUUCUCGUAACUACUUUGUCCCGGAGAGCCUCUCACUCCAGAUGAUUGCUUGGAGCACCGAAGGAUUCCAAAGAUACCAUCUGAUGUUCUCUCGAGACUUUGUGCCUGUUGCUUUUGCAAUUCCCUACCAUCGAAAUAUCCCUAUGGAUAAAUACAUACACCUGUCGUUCUUACUUUUAUCCCCGGUUGAUCUUGCUCUCUAUUGUUAUAAGAAUACCUUGUGUCUACUUCUUUGCAGUUCUUUACCACAUGAAUACCCCUGCAAAUAAUUACUCGCACUUAUCGAGUAUUCGUCCAUCCUGAGUUAUUCAUAUGUUUCAUAUGAUACUUUGAAAUUCUAUCCGAUCAUUCGAGGAUCCUCUUUAAGACUAUUGCUCUACAUAUACUUGUCUGCUUGCACUAUGGUUGCUUCCCAUAGGUCUAGCAACAUUCAUUAGUCUCCUUUGACACCAUCAUUUUGAUCCUAUUGAUUCAACAUGAGUGCAAAUGCACGCAAUCAUCGGUUGAUUCUUUUAAAAUUACCUUUCCGGCUGAGAUGUGAUUUUGAACAUGAUCUGUUUAUCGACCAAUCGAAUUGUCGUCGAUUGUACCCCUAAGUCUAUUCAGCUUAACCAUCCUUAAUCAGAGCUUUUGCUUCUGAUCCCUUGAAUCAGAAAUCAUGAUUCUUUACAUUGAUCUUUGAAUUAGUCAGUUGCUUCUAUAAUCCAAUGCCUUCACAUUGUUUCUUCCUCUGCUUGUGUACCGAUACUCACAUCAGCUCCGCUAUGGACCGUCGGAUCAUUUGUUGUAAUACCAUCCGACAGUGUCCUUCGUAUACAAAAACCUCAAGAAGAUCUUUCCCUGAUACAUAAUGCAUUCGGUAAAUUGUAUCCUCUCCUUUUGUCACCCAUGCUCUACUAUUGAGCUUGUGUUAAUUACUAUUGAAGUUUGUGGUAUAUGUUCCUAAGAUGCCCUGAUGGGUUGAACCUACACGUUAUCCGUGUGAACCCGAAAGAUUUCACGGGUCAUACUUAUCUGGUAUUGCACCAGGUAAAACUUUCAAGAACUAAUGCCAUUUUUUGAAAUAAGAGAGGUGAAUGGAAGGUUAUGCAUUGACGAAGUGGGAGUCGACCUUGAACCUUUGUGUUCAUGCCCAUGGACACGAUGUAGAUCCUAUCAUGGAAGCUUCUUGCAAUAAUAACUAUUUCCUUGAAAAUAUCAUCUGGAUCUGUGAAUUGAUCCUUUGCAAUCGUGGUUCCGACCAUAAUUUCUUCCUUUGAUUCUAUUUCUCAGACAAGUAAAAGCGCUUGUCUUCUAUAGAUCAAUACACCCCACUUCAACCUUUAAUUUGAUAUGCCUUCGAGUAUUAUCUCCCUGGUAUCUCGAGGAUAUCAUUCCAUUGCAUUACAUCUUAUGAAUUUGUGCCGGAGUAAUACCUUUCUAUAUCAUAGUCACUCCAUGAGUUUUGGGUUGUAGUCAACCGAGAACACCGAAUAGUGAAUCGAGUCCGCACUGCGAUUCGACAACUCUUAGUAAUCUUCAUUGCUUACGAGUUUAAUACUCCAUCAUGUCAUUCCUAGCCUUAUCGGCUACAUCACUAUCGUGCUAAAUUUAACUGUGCUAUCUGGUUCCUCCCGGAGCACAAAUUUCGACGGUGAGCUAAUCUUACGUCGAUCUUCCUUGUCAUAUCAUUUCUCCUUGAACAACAAACUUGAUUUCGAGUUUGUGUCGUACCCAUGGUUCCAAUAGCCUUUCACUUCAUCAUUCCUUCAACUUGAUGUCAUCAUCGUUCGAUUACAUCUUCAUGAGAUCUCUCAACAAAUGUGUCGUGAUCAUCAUUAGCAUUCCGAGCUCUUCCAAGAUAUCUAUCGAAUUCUUGAUGAGAAAUACCACCCUUUGCUCUCGGUGAUAUGUGUUAUCAUCGACCACUUUAUUGCCUUUCGUUCAACACAAACUUGUUCGUGUUUCGUGUUAUACCUUGAGCUCCUCGCUAUCUAGCUCAUGUUCUGUUUUACCUUGGAGUAUUACCAACUCUUUUUGCCAAGAAUGUGGUGAGAAUUUCACCACCUCUUAAGAAUUCUUGAUAUAGUGGUACGUCUCGCCAUCUCCGUUCAUUCCUUGGUCCCCGUGUUAUUUCUAACCGGAAAACCGACAAUCGAGCUAUGAUGUGCGACUCCUAAACUUCUAGCAACCCUAUUGCUUUGAAGUUAAUGGUCGAUAUUUCAUUCUUAGACCAUUGGUUAUCGAACCACCAUUCUAACAUUGAUCGUGCUACUUAAGCCCAUAUUUCGGGUGCACCUUUCAACCAAUGUUUAACUAUGUAUGUUUUCCUUGAACAUACAUUAUUAUAUCAUUUGAUCUGACAAUUGUUAUCUCCUUGUUCACAUAAUUGUGAAAAUCCAUCUUGUUGGAAAUCUUGAUGAAUUGUCGCUGUCCAUCAGCCAGCUCCUCAUCCCCUCCUUGUUUUAGUGAUGAACCAUUGUUUCAGGAACCCGCUCCCCUAGUUCAUUUCCCGAGAAUCUUACAAUGUCAUCUUGUCAAUUUGUGUUGUACCUUUUCUUCUCAGGCAUCCCGAGUCUAAGGAUUUUGACACCAAUCAGAUCUGAAUCUCGGUCAGAUAUGAUGGUUGGAGCAUAUUUCCAAGAGUUAUAACAUUGGUCUUUGUGUGACCCGGUAAGGUGAUGUCGUGCCUAGCACACCUGGCCGUAGGCCCUAUUGUUAUAGAUUCCUUUUCAACAAGGUUAUCCAUUCUUCCAUGAGGAAAUUAUAAGACUUAUUCUACAAGUUAUUCCUGAUGGAUCCUUUGUGUUUCCAAAGUUUGAUCUUCACCUGUUGACCUUGUCAAUGCUAUCUUGAAGCCUGUCUAUGGUACUCCAAUUUUCAACAAGAACAUUUGAAGCCCAAUGCUAAAUGUUUCCUGCUCAAUUAUCCAAACACCGUUGUAUGAGUAAUGUCAUGAAAUUUCUCUCCCCUUACCUAAAUGGGUUGCUACUUUCUAUCCUGUCAUGGAUAUCGUGCUCCGCUUGUCCUUGGGAAGGAUAUACCCCCGAAAUAUGUGUGUAUACACAUUUUCCCUUCCAUUGUUCUGUUUAAACCUGAUAACCACUUUUCCUUUCCAUUGGUUUGUUUAAACCUUCUUGUGAUCUAUAUUAUAUAAACAGUAAUAUUUCCCUGCUUAUGUAAACACCUCGUUGUACAAUUCUGUCAGCAAGACCCUGUUACUAUUGAUGAUGACAUUCUCGUAGCCACCGAUGGACGAGAACUUUGCCUAUUGGUCCGCCUCGUUCAACAAGCAGGAAAAUGGUUCUCUUCGUCCCUCGCCCUUGGUACCGAUGUUUUUGCCGACAUAAUCGACAUGCUACAUUCUCACCUGCCUUGCUAUCUUGACCAUGCAAGACGUCAUCGCUCUUCCUACUUUUAACCAACCUAGUGGGCCCAUAACCCACAGUUCCACAGGAUCGAAACCUGACUCUUCCUUACAACCCGGAUUCUAAUGUAUCCUUUGCACCUGGCUUCGUAUGUGAUUCACGAGCUAAAUGCUAUACCAUUGAUCAUCCUGGAAUCAAACACCAUGUUAAUCUCGUUGUUCAAACCCCCAUUCCAGCUUCUGUCUAGUCAUCGAAUGAUUGCCUACCCGUUUGAAACUUUGGUACCAUCGUAUAUUGCACUCAACGAAUUCACUGAAAUACAACUCGUGGGGUACCUUGUGUAUUUCCCAUCGAGUUCACCGUCAAAUGCCCAGCUUUGUGGAGAUGCAUUCUUCCAUAGUUUUUCCCCCUGGUCGCGUUCGUAGGACGAUGGAGAUCCCGAAGAAAGGAUGACGACUUGAUCAUGGUGACUUGAAGCAGAGAAAUGAAGACGUCAAUGAAAGGGAUCAACCUCUUUGAAAAGGGCAGCCAAGAUCGAGAAGACUCGUUAGGUUUUUCGCUACCAGCACCUUCCCCCCUUACUCCAGCGCUUAAAUCUCGGGACGAGAUUUCUUGUAGUGGAGGAGAAUUGUGACGCCCGGAUAAUUAGGCUACAGUAACCCCAUGUUAACGAUGCCACGUCACCUCGGAUUACUGUUGGUAAUCUCGCGUUAGUUUGAAACGAUUCAUAUUCAAAAUUUGAAUUUAAGUUAAACAAUGAAAGUUUUGAAAAGUCAAAACUAAAUUGUUCCUAACGUGUCAAAUAAUCCUUAUUAAAUGUUGGUGGAUAAAUUAUCUUUUAAUAAAAUAUUUAAAUGCACUAAAGUAAUAGAGAUGACUGCAAAAACAAUUAAUUAGAUGCCUUUUAUAAAGUUAUAAUAAUAAAACUAAAUUAGUAGUGUGCCAAAAUAAUUGUGGCAGUGGACUGAUUAGUAAUACUAGUUUAGGUGCUGACUGGGUAUUUUAUAAAACUAAAAUAAAAGAAACUUUAAAUGAAAACAGUAAAGAAAAUAAGUAAAAAGAAAUAAAAAGAAAAGCAAACCCCCCAUCACUGGGCUCCGGCCCAGCAGGCCACCAGCCCAACUGGGCAAAGGCCCAACCGGCCGGCCACCCCACUCCCUUAACCCCCUGGUGCCGAAACCCUAGGCACCGACACCCGCCCACUCCCCAAUCACGUCCCCACUAUCCCUCCCCCCGAUCCCCUCCUGGAUCGGGAUCGAGCCCCCCCACACUCGCUCACCCCCGCUCGAUCUGUAUGCCCGCUCCCUUGCUGCCUCCGACCCCGGUGCGCCAACGCCGCUCGUCGUCUCCGGCGCCGCCCGCUACCUCGCCCCCACCUCCUCGACGCCGCACCACCGUUGGACCUCGCCGGACGUCAUCACCGGACUACAUCCUCGUCGCCACGCCGUCGUCCCCGUCCUCCUCCUCGUCACUCGCUGCCUAGUCCCUACGCACCUCCGUGAGCUUCCUCCCUUCUCCCUGUUUUCGUCGCCGUAGGCCAAGCCCCUAGCCGCACCCACUGCCGCCCUGUCGCUGCACACCUUGGACACUGUCCGCGCCCGGACACGCCCCUGCACCGCGGUCACCGCUUCCGACUGCGUGCACCGCGCGCCCCUAGUGCAUCCAUGCCAUGCGCCCCGCCGUGCCUCUUCUCCCCCCCCGCUCUGUCACUGCGGCUCACCGCCGCCCUGCGCUCCUCCGCCCGAGCAUUGCCUCACAGCGCGCCACCACUCCGCACUCCACCUCGCCACAACUAACGCUGUCGCUGAGCUUCUCGUCGCAAGCCGUGUCCGCCGUUUCCCUGCACUGUCCGCCGGGCCUCGUCGCUGCCGCAUCCGGUGCCCGGUGCCUGCGCCCAUCUGCACCGCUCGACCCUCUCCUGGGUCGGGUGCUCGCAUCGCCAAGCGCCCGAAUCCCCCGUGCCCGUAACCGCUAUGGCCUUUGGCCUAUUGACAGUCGGGACCCACAACCCAAAACGUUUUAUAAAAAAAAGAUUUAAGAAAAAUAAGUAUUAAAAUAAUAAUUAAUUAAUUAUUUAAUUAGCUUAAUUAAUUUUGUUUAGAUUAACCAAAUCAUUAGGUAAACUAAUUAACUCUAGUUAAUUAACCUGCUAAUUAAACAGUGUAUGACAUGCGGGACCCACCAUCAGAUUGACCUAGUCAACACGUGUUGACUGCUGACGUCAGCAUGACAUCAUUCUGAUGUCAUAAAUCCAAAUUUCGAAUUAAAAUAAUUAGAUAAAUGCUAAAAAUGAUUUAAAUAUUUUAAAAUCAAUAUAAAAUAAACCGUAGCUCGGAUGUAGAAACUUUGUACAUGAAAGUUGCUCAGAGCGACGAGACGAAUCCGGAUACGCAACAUGUUCGUCUGCCACACACCCCUAACAUAUCGAACACGCAACUUUCCCCCUCCGGUUCAUCUGUCCGGGAAUGCAAAACACCGGGGAUACUUUCCCGGAUGUCCCCCCCCUUUCGCCGGUAUCACCUCCUACCGCAUUAGGGCAUACCUAGUACCGCGUAUUGCCUUGUUAUAUUUUGUGAUGCUUUGUUUGCUCCAUAUAUACUAUUUCUUCCCCCCUCUUCUUCUCCGGUAGACCCCGAGACCGGUGUUGAUGCGAUUGAGUACGACUACGUCACUAACGACCCCUCCUUGCCAAAGCAACCAGGCAAGCCCCCCCCCCUUGAUCACCAGAUAUCGCCUAUUCUCCUCUAUACUGCUUGCAUUAGAGUAGUGUAGCAUGUUACUGCUUACUGUUAAUCCUAUUCUGAUGCAUAGCCUGACAUUGUUGCUACAUCUGUUGAUACCUUACCUACAAUCCUAAAUACUUAGUAUAGGAUGCUAGUUUAUCAUCAUUGGCCCUACAUUCUUGUCAGUCUGCCUUGCUAUACUAUUGGGCCGUGAUCACUCGGGAGGUGAUCACGGGUAUAUACUAUACAUACAUACAUACUGUAUAGAUGGUGAAUAAAGUCGGGUCAGCUCGAUGAGUACCCGCAAGUGAUUCUGAUGAGGGGGCUAAAAGGACAGGUGGCUCCAUCCCGGUAGAGGUGGGCCUGGGUUUCCGACGGCCCCCGACUGUUACUUUGUGGCGGAGCGACAUGGCAGGUUGAGACCACCUAGGAGACAGGUGGGCCUGGCCCUGGUCGGCAUUCGCGGUUGCUUCACAAUAACACGCUUAACGAGAUCUUGGUAUUUGAUCUGAGUCUGACCACUGGCCUAUACGCACUAACCAACUACGUGGGAAAGAUAUGGGCACUCGACGUUGUGGUAUCAGCCGAAGCCUUCUAGACGUCAGCGACUGAGCGGCGCGCGCCAGAUUGGAACGUAAGCCUGCUCUUGUAUUAAGGGGGCUAGUUCUGCUUUCGGCCGCCCUCGCAACGUGCAGGUGUGCAAUGGGCGAUGGGCCCAGACCCCUGCGCCAUAGGAGUUAGACCGGCAUGCUGACCUCUCUGUUAGGCCUAGGUGGGGCUGCGACGUGUUGAUCUUCCGAGGCCAGGCAUGACCCAGGAAAGUGUGUCCGGCCAAAUGGGAUUGAGCGUGUUGGGUUAUGGGUAGGAUUAUGCUAUGCGAUGCUACUGGAGAUGCUACUUGGAGAUGCUACUUGGAGGACUUCAAUCUACUCUCUUUUACAUGCUGCAAGACGGAGGCUGCCAGAAGCAUAGUCUUCUACAGGAUUAGUUAUCCCCCUCUUAUUCUGGCAUUCUGCAGUUCAGUCCCCUGAUAUGGCCCUUUACACAUAUACCCAUGCAUAAGUAGUGUAGUUCCUUGCUUGCGAGUACUUUGGAUGAGUACUCACGGUUGCUUUCUCCCCCCUUUCCUUUCUUUCUGGUUGUCGCAACCAGAUGCUGGAGUCCAGGAGCCAGACGCCACCAUCGACGAUGACUCCUACUACACCGCAGGUGCCUACUACUACGUGCAGCCCGCUGACGACGACCAGGAGUAGUUAGGAGGAUCCCAGGCAGGAGGCCUGUGUCUCUUUCGAUCUGUAUCCCAGUUUGUGCUAGCCUUCUUAAGGCAAACUUGUUUAACUUAUGUCUGUACUCAGAUAUUGUUGCUUCCGCUGACUCGUCUAUGAUCGAGCACUUGUAUUCAAGCCCUCGAGGCCCCUGGCUUGUAUUAUGAUGCUUGUAUGACUUAUUUAUGUUUUCGAGUUGUGUUGUGAUAUCUUCCCGUGAGUCCCUGAUCUUGAUCGUACACAUUUGCGUGCAUGAUUAGUGUACGAUUGAAUCGGGGGCGUCACAUUGAGGAAGCAAAGUUUUAUAAAGUCAACAUGUACAUCAGGUCAUCAGACUCCAUGGAUCUAAUAUUUUCUUUGGCAAGUUCAGAUAGUCUUCAGAAUCUAGCUGCUUAUACCAUCAUGAAAGCAAUAUUGUGGUUUAAUUUACCUACAAUUCAACAUCUAUUAUAGGUAUGACUCUUUCUGUGUGUAAUGGAUGUUUGUUAUAAUUCGAUACCCGGUGUUAUCCAUGUGUCCAUCUUUACUGGGGCAAUUUUACUAUGCCGACGAACCCCAUCGCUCCAUCUAUAAUAUUGCUGGUGUUAUCCAUGGAUGUUUCUUAUACAUGUAUAAUAAUUAAUAAAGUGGGUACAUGCACCUUCCAUAUGCAAAGGCCGAGGUUCAUUCUUCUUUAAAAAACAUAUGUAUAAGAAAUAAGUUAUGGACUGUUGAUGUCUACUACGCAACCUUAUUCUUGUAGACGUUGUUGGGCCUCCAAGUGCAGAGGUUUGUAGGACAGUAGCAAAUUUCCCUGAACUGGAUGACCUAAGGUUUAUCAAUCCGUGGGAGGUGUAGGAUGAAGAUGGUCUCUCUCAAACAACCCUGCAACCAAAUAACAAAGAGUCUCUUGUGUCCCCAGCACACCCAAUACAAUGGUAAAUUGUAUAGGUGCACUAGUUCGGCGAAGAGAUGGUGAUACAAGUGCAAUAUGGGUGGUAGAUAUGAGUAUUUGUAAUCUGAAAAUAUAAAAACAGCAAGGUAACUAAUGAUAAAAGUGAGCGUAAAUGGUAUUGCAAUGCUAGGAAACAAGGCCUAAGGUUCAUGCUUCCACUAGUGCAAGUUCUCUCAACAAUAAUAACAUAACUGGAUCAUAUAACUAUCCAUCAACAUGCAACAAAGAGUCACUCCAAAGUCACUAAUAGCGGAGAAAAACCGAAGAGAUUAUUGGAGGGUAUGAAACCACCUCAAAGUUAUCCUUUCUGAUCGAUCUAUUCAAGAGUCUGUAGUAAAAUAACACGAAGCUAUUCUUUCCGUUCGAUCUAUCAUAGAGUUUGUACUAGAAUAACACCUUAAGACACAAAUCAACCAAAACCCUCACUACAAAAAAAGACACAUCCGUGACAUUUUGGGCCGAACGAAAAAAAAUUCUGUCAUACAUAUGACACUUCUAUGAUGAUAAUUGUGACAAAACCUGGUAUCAUCAUCGAUGUGGUGGGCUCCUACUUCUAUGACAAAAAAUCAUGAUAGAAAAUGGGCUUUUCGUCCUGAGCGAGCCGGAGACGCAGGUGCAUGACAUUCUUUGGGCCGUCCAUGACGAAAAAAACCAUGGUAGAAGCGAGGGCGAGGAAAAUUUCAGGGAGUUCCCGAUUAUGGUGGGAGGUCGGGGGCCAAGCGAUGCGCGUUUCUCUCAUACACGUACGCGCGUGUGUGCGAGGCGUUGGCUCUAACUGAACCCGAGCGAGGCGUUGGGCUCUAACUGAACCCGAGCGAUUGCAUUGCAGGCUACACGUUACUGAACCUGAGCGAUCGAUCGAUGGCUGUUAGCUGAACCCGAUCAAGCGAUUCCUUUGCUACUGCUGCUAACUGAAGCCGAUCGAUGCUGCCCCUGGGAUGAACAGUGGCAUUGCAUGGGGGGGUGGAUGAACAGUGAGCGGUAGCGUUGCCUCUGGAUGAACAUGACCCCGUGGUGUGGAGGGCUGGAUGAACAGUAGAUGGUGGAGGGGUGCCCGUGGAGGGGUGGUUGAACAGUAGCCGGUGGAGUAGCUCACGGUGGAGGCUGGAUGAACAGGAGCCUGUGGAGGCUGGAGGAGGUCGACGGUAGCCCGUGGAGGCUGGAGCAGGUCAACGAUGGAGAUGAACAAUAUCCCGUGGAGUCCCAUUUUGCGGUACGCCACACCCCUCCCGAUGAACAGGACCCCCGUUUCGACCCUAGCGCUCCAACACAAGUCCGUUUCGUCCGUUUUACGGUACGCCACACCCCUCCCGAUCAACAGGACCCCUGUUUCGACCAUAGGAGGUCCGUUUCGUCCGUUUUGUGGUACACCACACCCCUCCCGAUCAACAGGACCCCCGUGUCGACAGUAGGAGGUCCGUUUCCUCCAUUUUUACGGUACGCCACACCCCUCCCGAUGAACAGGAUCCCGUUUCGAACAUGGCUGGUCGAACACAAGGCUGUUUCCUCUGUUUUGCGAUACACCAGGCCUCGUUUCCAUCGCCUGUUCCGUCCAAGCCCUCCCGAUGAACACGACCACGCAUUCCGUUCCAACCCAACCAGUUGGCUCCCGAUGAACAUGACAACGACGUUGUUUCUCUGUUCUGACCCAGCCAUGUACACGAGCCCUGGCCGUACGUAUGCGCGAGUAGGCGUUCAAGACCCCGCCCAUAUGUACACAUACGUGGCCAUAUUUUCUUUCUUGCACACUGGCCAUUGUACGUACGUGUACAUGCUACGUGCGCGUCUCUACUAUGACAUGUGCGCGCCUCUACAUCGACCAGUAUAUAUGUACGUACACGUUCGCGACCAGAAUGACAAUGCUACGUACGCUUUGACUAGGUGGGUCCCGACUGUUAGGCACUUCCUUGCGUGUGAAGAUGUAGCUGGUGGGUCCCAGCAGUCAGGGGGGUGAAUCGUUUUUUUUUUGCCCGGACGCACUUCCUUGCGUGUGAAGAUGUAGCUGGNNNNNNNNNNNNNNNNNNNNNNNNNNNNNNNNNNNNNNNNNNNNNNNNNNNNNNNNNNNNNNNNNNNNNNNNNNNNNNNNNNNNNNNNNNNNNNNNNNNNNNNNNNNNNNNNNNNNNNNNNNNNNNNNNNNNNNNNNNNNNNNNNNNNNNNNNNNNNNNNNNNNNNNNNNNNNNNNNNNNNNNNNNNNNNNNNNNNNNNNNNNNNNNNNNNNNNNNNNNNNNNNNNNNNNNNNNNNNNNNNNNNNNNNNNNNNNNNNNNNNNNNNNNNNNNNNNNNNNNNNNNNNNNNNNNNNNNNNNNNNNNNNNGAAUCAUUUUUUUGCCCGGACGCACUUCCUUGCGUGCGAACAUGUAGCUGGUGGGUCCCAGCAGUCAGGGGGGCGAAUCGUGUUUUUUGCCCGGACGCACUUCCUUGCGUGCGAAAUGUAGCUGGUGGGUCCCAUCAGUCAGGGGGGAACGCUUUUUUUGCGAAAUACGGUGUCUCGUCCGGUGGAUCCCUGCUGUCAGGUGGAGGAAUCAUUAAUUUCCGCGUAAUAAGGGGGCACUUCCUUGCUGCGGCCAUGGACCCAGCUGUCAGCCUCUCCAUGUACAAUCCAUGUCUGAUGGAAGUCGUUCCUUGACCACUUUGACCACGCCGCACCGAGAGCACCACGGCGGUGGACGACGGCGAGGCCUAGGAAGGGGACGACUCGGAGCCGGGGAAGACGCAGCAGUGGAUGCCCACACAAAGAGGAGUACGAGGGUUCACUGGUUCGGCUGCGGUGUGAGGCUGCUGUCGCCACAGAAUAACAUGGGGUGUGGGUGAGUAGAGGGAUGGCCUAGCCAGCGGUGGGAGUAGUAGGGGGCGGUGAGGCCUCCGCGGCAUCACAGCCGGCCACGGGAGGCAGGAGCACGCGGCACGACCGACGCUGGUUUGGGCGGCUGGAGCAAGAAGACCAGAGGUUGAAGAAGCACUAUGGCCGUUGGAUGAACAUCAUACGGUAACAGGAGCUAGAAUCGUUCAUAUUGACUAAGUUGACAAAGCCCUCCGUCCCCGUCAACUUGGUAGGCCCACAAGUCAGCCUCCCACUAUGCUGGGUUCCAGCUGGUAGGGGGAGUAUUCAUUUUUUUUGUGCGUAAUAAGGAGGCACUUCCUUGCGUGCGAAGAUAGCUGGUGGGUCCGACUUGUCAGCGGGGGCACGUUUUUUUCGCGAAAUACAAAGGCCCUUCCGGUGGGUCGCAGAUGUCAGGUGGAGGAAUCAUUAUUUUGCGCAUAAUAAGGAGGCAUUUCCUUGUGUGAGGCCGUGGACCCAGCUGUCAGCCUCUCCAUGCACAGUCUACUUCGGAUGGUGUCGUUCGUUGACCACGUUGCCACGUCGCGCCGAGCGCAUCCAAGGUGGUGGACGACGACGAGGCCCCGGACAGCAACGAGCCGGAGAUGGGAAGACGCGGGAGUGGAGUCAUAGACAGAGAGGUGUACGAGGGUUAACUGGUUCUAGUGCGGUGUGGUUCGGUAGUCGGCGGAGAAGAACAGGAGGUGUGGAGGGGUGGAGGCAUGGCCUGGCCAUCGGUGGAGUAGCGCUUCAUAGCGAAGCGUGCUAAGCAGAGCUGCUAGCAGCAGGAGGCGGGAGGUGGUCCCGGUGGUGCUGGAGGAAGAAGACGAGAGAUUGAAGAUGGAUGCCGGUCGUUGGAUGUAAAUCCAAUGGCUAACAUGUCAGAAUCAUUUGUUGACUAAAUUGACAACGACUUGCGUUGGCUUCGACCUAUUGGCCCACAUUUCAGCCUCCAAAAAUGUGGCACGUAUUCAACCCAUUUUUUCAGAAUUUACAGUCUUUUUUUUGCGCGGUAGAAUUUACAGUCAAUUUGAUAUAUUUUUCUUUGAAUUACAGCCAUUAGCUGGGCUGGGUGAACAAAUUAUGUAGCGUCCAUGCGGCCCAUUUAUUUUAUUUCCUAAAAAAUUAGAGGCCAUUUGUACUUUCUCGAAAUACACGAUUUUGCUGGGCUGAUUCUAAUUAUAAUGUUGGGUUGGGCCAGCAAUGUUAUCAAAAAAUAAAAAGGGGCUGAACAUUUUGUUAUAAAUAUAUUUAAAAAAUAAGUGAUAUUAUUACAUUUGUUCUUAAAUCUUACCAAGCUUUUGUACACAAUCACUAGGAUUUUCGUGCCAAAACAAUCCAGGAUUUUAUUGUUAAGAAAUUAUUUUUAUAAGUUAAUAAGAUGUGGGAUAUUGCUUUCUUACAUAUGUAAGUAUCUGUUAAAUAUAUGAUGACAAUAAAAAUAAUAUAUAAUAACUAAUAAAAUACUUUAAAUAUAUAUAAUAUAGUUAUAAGGGAAACAUAAGUUGGACCUGGUGUUCUUAUUCUUAUAUAGAAAAAUAGAACAGACCUCUGCGUUUUCUUCAAAAAUAUACAUAAAUUGGGCUGCCGAUAUUCAGGAAAAAUAAAACCUCGGAUGGGAGGUCCAUAGGCCGGUCGAUACACGACGGCCCUCAAGAAAAUACAAACAGGCCUAUGGACCUCCCAUCCGAGGUCGUGGGCUGCGCAUGUUAGAAAUGAAAGCCUAGACGGGGCAGCCCAAAACCAUGUCCAACACUUGCCAAAACUUCGUCCCUCGUUUUCUCUGUGUUCCGCACACUCGACAUUGUGUGGGCAUUUUGAUUGUGCAUCAUAUGAAGAUGUGCUAUGCAUGAAUGUUGAUCCACAUGAUGUUAACUGGCUGGUAGUUCCAUUUUUGACCAUGAAUAAAACUUCCAACAUGAUGUUAACCCUGUUUGAAAAGGCCGUGUUAAUAUAAAUGCUAUGCCUUUGAAAGUUGCAGUUUCUUAUCUGAAACUGAACUUGCAGUUUCUUAUCUGAGAAUCACAUUGUCUGCACUUUUAUACUCCUAUGAAACUACAUUUUUAAGUGCUAAAAAUAGAUCUCUAGAAUUCAUAAAAUACUUCAUAUGCUCAAUACUGCAAAUCUGAAAUUCAAAAGACAUUCAUAUUUGAAAGUACUCUCAAAAUACACAACACAAAACACAAUUCACAACCUGCAAAUACUGACAACCCUAAGCUCCUCCUGACAAUUCACAACCUGCCCGACUAUUGGGCUGGGGGGGCAGUCCCCUCCUAUUCCUCGGCGGCAGACAGCCUCCCCAUGAGACAAUGUGAAUGGCGAGGGAGACGAUGGCGGGGAAGCAUCGUCGGGCCAACUGCUUUUCUCCUCUUGCAGUUGGGUUCGGUCAAUGAAGACUCCACCAGCUCGCUCUGGCAGGACACCCUCACAAAAUGCACCCUGUAGAUGCUCGAUCCUUCAAUCUCUGGUGGAUGCUCCAUCUGGGAUCGAUACUCCCACCACCGCUCCCUCACGAUCGGAUUCGAUGAAUCUGUUUGCUCCAUGGCCUAGAGGAGCAUCUCUAUGUACUCUGGCGCGACUCCCUCCGGGAGUAUGGCCACCUUUUCGCUCUGUUGCAGAUAUUUGGCCAUGGAUGUCGCCGUUGCCGCUAGUUGGUCCUUGUUGUCAAACCAAGACUAUAUCUCCAACAUCCUAGCUAGCUUCACAGGGUCGCCGUCUGCGAUCCUCACGUCUUGGUUGUACUCCUCCAUCGAUCUACUUCUCCACAGCACCUUCACUCACCGGCGGUGGUUUUUGAAUGGAAGAGGAGAGGAGCAGCGCUGGUUUUGGAUUAGAAUGGGAGAGGAGCGACGCUGGUUUUGGACUGGAACAGGAGAGGAGGGGCAGUGGUUUUGAAAUGGAAUAGGAGAGGAGCAGUGCUGGAUUUAGAUUGGAACAGGAGAGGAGCGGCGGUGGUUUAAGAGGAGAAGAGUGGAAGAGUGGCGCUAGUCUUGGAAGUAUGUUUUUGUUGUUUUGCGUAUUUUGGGUCAAAGUUUGACCACAUACUGUAUUUGACAAGCAAAAUGUGAAUGCAUGUCACCAAAAAUUGUAUCGUUUGGUUUGUAUCUGAAUGUACUUUCAAAUUAUAUUAUUUUUGCAACAUAUAACAUAUAUUUUAUGUGUGAAAAUCAUGGUCAAUUAUGACCCAGAAUAAAAGGGAGACUAGUUAAUGUGGGGUCGCUUUCUUAAUUGAAGGGUAAAUUGAUUUUAAUUUUGAUCCAGUCACAACGCGCCGGCCCUCUCGUCCAAUCCUAAAUCGCUGUCGCACGCUCCUCUCCCUCUUCUCCAUUGCAAAACCACCUCCUCUCCUCUCCAUCAUCUCCAUUCCAAAACCACCAUCUCGCCUCUCCCUCUUCUGAUCUUUUCCAUUGCAAAACCACCUCCUCUCCUCUCCAUCAUCUCCAUUCCAAAACCACCGUCUCGCCUCUCCCUCUUCUGAUCUUCUCCAUUGCAAAACCACCUCCUCUCCUCUCCAUCAUCUCCAUUCCAAAACCACCGUCUCGCCUCUCCCUCUUCCGAUCUUCUCCAUUGCAAAACCACCUCCUCUCCUCUCCAUCAUCUCCAUUCCUAAACCACCGUCUUGCCUCUCCCUCUUCUCUAUUGCAAGACCACCGUCUUGAAGGAAAUAUGCCCUAGAGGCAAUAAUAAAGUUAUUAUUUAUUUCCUUAUAAUCAUGAUAAAUGUUUAUUAUUCAUGCUAGAAUUGUAUUAACCGGAAACGUAAUACAUGUGUGAACACAUAGACAAACAAAGUGUCACUAGUAUGCCUCUACUUGACUAGCUCGUUAAUCAAAGAUGGUUAUGUUUCCUAACCAUGAACAAUGAGUUGUUAUUUGAUUAACGAGGUCACAUCAUUAGUUGAAUGAUCUGAUUGACCUGACCCAUUUCAUUAGCUUAGCACACGAUUGUUUAGUAUGUUGCUAUUACUUUCUUCAUGACUUAUACAUGUUCCUAUGACUAUGAGAUUAUGCAACUCCCGUUUACCGGAGGAACACUUUGGGUGCUACCAAACGUCACAACGUAACUGGGUGAUUAUAAAGGAGCAUUACAGGUGUCUCCAAAGGUAGAUGUUGGGUUGGCGUAUUUCGAGAUUAGGAUUUGUCACUCCGAUUGUCGGAGAGGUAUCUCUGGGCCCUCUCGGUAAUACACAUCACAUAAGCCUUGCAAGCAUUACAACUAAUAUGGUAGUUGUGAGAUGAUGUAUUACGGAACGAGUAAAGAGACUUGCCGGUAACGAGAUUGAGCUAGGUAUUGGAUACCGACGAUCGAAUCUCGGGCAAGUAACAUACCGUGACAAAGGGAACAACGUAUGUUGUUAUGCGGUCUGACCGAUAAAGAUCUUCGUAGAAUAUGUAGGAGCCAAUAUGGGCAUCCAGGUCCCGCUAUUGGUUAUUGACCGGAGACGUGUCUCGGUCAUGUCUACAUUGUUCUCGAACCCGUAGGGUCCGCACGCUUAAGGUUACGAUGACAGUUUCAUUAUGAGUUUAUGCAUUUUGAUGUACCGAAGGUUGUUCGGAGUCCCGGAUGUGAUCAUGGACAUGACGAGGAGUCUCGAAAUAGUCGAGACGUAAAGAUUGAUAUAUUGGAAGCCUAUGUUUGGACAUCGUAAGUGUUCCGGGUGAAAUCGGGAUUUUACCGGGUUACCGGGAGGUUACUGGAACCCCCCGAGAGCCAUAUGGGCCUUCAUGGGCCUUAGUGGAAAGGUGAAAGGGAUGCCCAUAAGGUCUGCGCGCCUCCCCCCUUCCCCUAGUCCUAUUAGGACUAGGAGAGGUGGCUGGCCACCCCUCUCCCUCUUUCCCCCUUGGGAAUCCUAGUUGGAAUAGGAUUGGGAGGGAGUCCUACUCCCGGUAGGAGUAGGACUCCUCCUACGCCCUCCUCCUGGCCGGCGCACCUCUCCCCCUUGGCUCCUUUAUAUACGGAGGCAGGGGGCACCUCUAUACACACAAGUUGAUCCACGUGAUCUGUUCCUUAGCCGUGUGCGGUGCCCCCUGCCACCAUAUUCCUCGAUAAUACUGUAGCGGAGUUUAGGCGAAGCCCUGCUGCUGUAGUACAUCAAGAUCGUCACCACGCCGUCGUGCUGACGGAACUCUUCCCCGACACUUUGCUGGAUUGGAGUCCGGGGAUCGUCAUCGAGCUGAACGUGUGCUCGAACUCGGAGGUGCCAUAGUUUUGGUGCUUGAUCGGUUGGAUCGUGAAGACGUACGACUACUUCCUCUACAUCGUGUCAUCGCUUCCGCAGUCGGUCUGUGUUGGGUAUGUAGACAAUACUCUCCCCCUCGUUGCUAUGCAUCACAUGAUCUUGCGUGUGCGUAGGAAAUUUUUUGAAAUUACUACGAAACCCAACAGUGGCAUCCGAGCCUAGGUUAUUUAUGUUGAUGUAUAUGCACGAGUAGAACACAAGUGAGUUGUGGACGAUACAAGUCAUACUGCCUACCAGCAUGUCAUACUUUGGUUCGGCGGCAUUGUUGGACGAGACAACCCGGACCAACAUUACGCGUACGCUUACGCGAGACCGGUUCCCUCGACGUGCUUUGCACAGAGAUGGCUUGCGGGCGACUGUCUCUCCAACUUUAGUUGAACCAAGUGUGACUACGCCCGGUCCUUGCGAAGGUUAAAACGGAGUCUAUUUGACAAACUAUCGUUGUGGUUUUGAUGCGUAGGUGAGAUUGGUUCUUACUUAAGCCCGUAGCAGCCACGUAAAACAUGCAACAACAAAGUAGAGGACGUCUAACUUGUUUUUGCAGGGCAUGUUGUGAUGUGAUAUGGUCAAGGCAUGAUGCUAAAUUUUAUUGUAUGAGAUGAUCAUGUUUUGUAACCGAGUUAUCGGCAACUGGCAGGAGCCAUAUGGUUGUCGUUUUAUUGUAUGCAAUGCAAUCGCGAUGUAAUGCUUUACUUUAUUACUAAAGGGUAGUGAUAGUCAUGGAAGCAUAAGAUUGGCGAGACGACAACGAUGCUACGAUGGAGAUCAAGGUGUCGCGCCGGUGACGAUGGUGAUCAUGACGGUGCUUCGGAGAUGGAGAUCACAAGCACAAGAUGAUGAUGGCCAUAUCAUAUCACUUAUAUUGAUUGCAUGUGAUGUUUAUCUUUUUAUGCAUCUUAUCUUGCUUUGAUUGACGGUAGCAUUAUAAGAUGAUCUCUCACUAAAUUAUCAAGAAGUGUUCUCCCUGAGUAUGCACCAUUGCCAAAGUUCGUCGUGCCCAGACACCACGUGAUGAUCGGGUGUGAUAAGCUCUACGUCCAUCUACAACGGGUGCAAGCCAGUUUUGCACACGCAGAAUACUCAGGUUAAACUUGACGAGCCUAGCAUAUGCAGAUAUGGCCUCGGAACACGGAGACCGAAAGGUCAAGCGUGAAUCAUAUAGUAGAUAUGAUCAACAUAAUGAUGUUCACCGAUGAAACUACUCCAUCUCACGUGAUGAUCGGACACUGUUUAGUUGAUUUGGAUCACGUGAUCACUUAGAGGAUUAGAGGGAUGUCUAUCUAAGUGGGAGUUCUUAAGUAAUAUGAUUAAUUGAACUAAAUUUAUCAUGAACUUAGUACCUGAUAGUAUCUUGCUUGUUUAUGUUGAUUGUAGAUAGAUGGCUUGUGCUGUUGUUCCGUUGAAUUUUAAUGCGUUCCUUGAGAAAGCAAAGUUGAAAGAUGACGGUAGCAAUUACACGGACUGGGUCCGUAACUUGAGGAUUAUCCUCAUUGCUGCUCAGAAGAAUUACGUCCUAGAAGCACCGCUAGGUGCCAGGCCUGCUGCUGGAGCAACACCAUAUGUUAUGAACGUCUGGCAGAGCAAAGCUGAUUACUACUCGAUAGUUCAGUGUGCCAUGCUUUACGGCUUAUAUCGGGACUUCAACGAUGUUUUGAACGUCAUGGAGCAUAUGAGAUGUUCCAGGAGUUGAAGUUAAUAUUUCAAGCAAAUGCCCGGAUUGAGAGAUAUGAAGUCUCCAAUAAGUUCUAUAGCUGCAAGAUGGAGGAGAACAGUUCUGUCAGUGAGCAUAUACUCAAAAUGCCUAGGUAUAAUAAUCACUUGAUUCAAUUGGGAGUUAAUCUUCCGGAUGAUUGCGUCAUUGACAGAAUUCUCCAAUCACUGCCACCAAGCUACAAGAGCUUCGUGAUGAACUAUAAUAAGCAAGGGAUGAACAAGACUAUUCCCGAGCUCUUUGCAAUGCUAAAAGCUGCGGAGGUAGAAAUCAAGAAGGAGCAUCAAGUGUUGAUGGUUAACAAGACCACUAGUUUCAAGAAAAAGGGCAAAGGGAAGAAGAAGGGGAACUUCAAGAAGAACGGCAAGCAAGUUGCUGCUCAAGAGAAGAAACCCAAGUCUGGACCUAAGCCUGAAACUGAGUGCUUCUACUGCAAGCAGACUGGUCACUGGAAGCGGAACUACCCCAAGUAUUUGGCGGAUAAGAAGGAUGGCAAGGUGAACAAAGGUAUAUGUGAUAUACAUGUUAUUGAUGUGUACCUUACUAGAGCUCGCAGUAGCACCUGGGUAUUUGAUACAGGUUCUGUUGCUAAUAUUUGCAACUCGAAACAGGGACUACGGAAUAAGCGGGCACUGGCAAAGGACGAGGUGACGAUGCGCGUGGGAAACGGUUCCAAAGUCGAUAUGAUUGCGGUCGGCACGCUACCUCUACAUCUACCUUCGGGAUUAAUAUUAGACCUAAAUAAUUGUUAUUUGGUGCCAGCGUUGAGCAUGAACAUUAUAUCUGGAUCUUGUUUAAUGCGAGACGGUUAUUCAUUUAAAUCAGAGAAUAAUGGUUGUUCUAUUUAUAUGAGUAAUAUCUUUUAUGGUCAUGCACCCUUGCAGAGUGGUCUAUUCUUAUUGAAUCUCGAUAGUAGUAAUACACAUAUUCAUAAUGUUGAAACCAAAAGAUGCAGAGUUGAUAAUGAAAGUGCAACUUAUUUGUGGCACUGUUGUUUAGGUCAUAUCGGUGUAAAGCGCAUGAAGAAACUCCAUACUGAUGGACUUUUGGAACCACUUGAUUAUGAAUCACUUGGUACUUGCGAACCGUGCCUCAUGGGCAAGAUGACUAAAACACCGUUCUCCGGUACUAUGGAGAGAGCAACAGAUUUGAUGGAAAUCAUACAUACCGAUGUAUGUGGUCCGAUGAAUAUUGAGGCUCGUGGCGGAUAUCGUUAUUUUCUCACCUUCACAGAUGAUUUAAGCAGAUAUGGGUAUAUUUACUUAAUGAAACACAAGUCUGAAACAUUUGAAAAGUUCAAAGAAUUUCAGAGUGAAGUUGAAAAUCAUCAUAACAAGAAAAUAAAGUUUCUACGAUCUGAUCGUGGAGGAGAAUAUUUGAGUUACGAGUUUGGUGUACAUUUGAAAAACUGUGGAAUAGUUUCGCAACUCACGCCACCCGGAACACCACAACGUAAUGGUGUGUCCGAACGUCGUAAUCGUACUUUACUAGAUAUGGUGCGAUCUAUGAUGUCUCUUACUGAUUUACCGCUAUCGUUUUGGGGUUAUGCUCUAGAGACGGCCGCAUUCACGUUAAAUAGGGCACCAUCAAAAUCCGUUGAGACGACGCCUUAUGAACUGUGGUUUGGCAAGAAACCAAAGUUGUCGUUUCUUAAAGUUUGGGGCUGCGAUGCUUAUGUGAAAAAGCUUCAACCUGAUAAGCUCGAACCCAAAUCGGAGAAAUGUGUCUUCAUAGGAUACCCAAAGGAAACUGUUGGGUACACCUUCUAUCACAGAUCCGAAGGCAAGACAUUCAUUGCUAAGAAUGGAUCCUUUCUAGAGAAAGAGUUUCUCUCGAAAGAAGUGAGUGGGAGGAAAGUGGAACUUGAUGAGGUAACUGUACCUGCUCCCUUACUGGAAAGUAGUUCAUCACAGAAAACUGUUUCAGUGACACCUACACCAGUUAGUGAGGAAGCCAAUGAUAAUGAUCAUGAAACUUCAGAUCAAGAUACUACUGAACCUCGUAGAUCAACCAGAAUAAGAUCCGCACCAGAGUGGUACGGUAAUCCUGUUCUGGAAGUCAUGCUACUAGAUCAUGAUGAACCUACGAACUAUGAAGAAGCGAUGGUGAGCCCAGAUUCCACAAAGUGGCUUGAAGCCAUGAAAUCUGAGAUGGGAUCCAUGUAUGAGAACAAAGUAUGGACUUUGGUUGACUUGCCCGAUGAUCGGCAAGCAAUUGAGAAUAAAUGGAUCUUUAAGAAGAAGACUGACGCUGAUGGUAAUGCUACUGUCUACAAAGCUCGACUUGUCGCAAAAGGUUUUCGGCAAGUUCAAGGGAUUGACUACGAUGAGACCUUCUCACCCGUAGCGAUGCUUAAGUCCGUCCGAAUCAUGUUAGCGAUUGCCACAUUUUAUGAUUAUGAAAUUUGGCAGAUGGAUGUCAAAACUCCAUUCCUGAGUGGAUUUCUGGAAGAAGAGUUGUAUAUGAUGCAACCGGAAGGUUUUGUCGAUCCAAAGGGAGCUAACAAAGUGUGCAAGCUCCAGCGAUCCAUUUAUGGACUGGUGCAAGCCUCUCGGAGUUGGAAUAAACGCUUUGAUAGUGUGAUCAAAGCAUUUGGUUUUAUACAGACUUUCGGAGAAGCCUGUAUUUACAAGAAAGUGAGUGGGAGCUCUGUAGCAUUUCUAAUAUUAUAUGUGGAUGACAUAUUGCUGAUUGGAAAUGAUAUAGAAUUUCUGGAUAGCAUAAAGGGAUACUUGAAUAAAAGUUUUUCAAUGAAAGACCUCGGUGAAGCUGCUUACAUAUUAGGCAUUAAGAUCUAUAGAGAUAGAUCAAGACGCUUAAUUGGACUUUCACAAAGCACAUACCUUGACAAAAUUUUGAAGAAGUUCAAAAUGGAUCAAGCAAAGAAAGGGUUCUUGCCUGUGUUACAAGGUGUGAAGUUGAGUAAGACUCAAUGCCCGACCACUGCAGAAGAUAGAGAGAAUAUGAAAGAUGUUCCCUAUGCAUCAGCCAUAGGAUCUAUCAUGUAUGCAAUGCUGUGAACCAGACCUGAUGUGUGCCUUGCCAUAAGUUUAGCAGGGAGGUACCAAAGUAAUCCAGGAGUGGAUCACUGGACAGCGGUCAAGAACAUCCUGAAAUACCUGAAAAGGACUAAGGAUGUGUUUCUCGUAUAUGGAGGUGACAAAGAGCUCACUGUAAAAGGUUACGUUGCUGCAAGCUUUGACACUGAUCCGGACGAUUCUAAAUCGCAAACCGGAUACGUGUUUACAUUAAACGGUGGAGCUGUCAGUUGGUGCAGUUCUAAACAAAGCGUCGUAGCGGGAUCUACAUGUGAAGCGGAGUACAUAGCUGCUUCGGAAGCAGCGAACGAAGGAGUCUGGAUGAAGGAGUUCAUAUCCGAUCUAGGUGUCAUACCUAAUGCAUCGGGUCCAAUGGAAAUCUUUUGUGACAAUACUGGUGCAAUUGCCUUGGCAAAGGAAUCCAGAUUUCACAAAAGGACCAAACACAUCAAGAGACGCUUCAAUUCCAUCCGGGAUCUAGUCCAGGUGGGAGACAUAGAGAUUUGCAAGAUACAUACGGAUCUGAAUGUUGCAGACCCGUUGACUAAGCCUCUUCCACGAGCAAAACAUGAUCAGCACCAAGGCUCCAUGGGUGUUAGAAUCAUUACAGUGUAAUCUAGAUUAUUGACUCUAGUGCAAGUGGGAGACUGAAGGAAAUAUGCCCUAGAGGCAAUAAUAAAGUUACUAUUUAUUUCCUUAUAAUCAAGAUAAAUGUUUAUUAUUCAUGCUAGAAUUGUAUUAACCAGAAACGUAAUACAUGUGUGAAUACAUAGACAAACAAAGUGUCACUAGUAUGCCUCAACUUGACUAGCUCGUUAAUCAAAGAUGGUUAUGUUUCCUAACCAUGAACAAUGAGUUGUUAUUUGAUUAACGAGGUCACAUCAUUAGUUGAAUGAUCUGAUUGACAUGACCCAUUUCAUUAGCUUAGCACACGAUUGUUUAGUAUGUUGCUAUUACUUUCUUCAUGACUUAUACAUGUUCCUAUGACUAUGAGAUUAUGCAACUCCCAUUUACCAGAGGAACACUUUGGGUGCUACCAAACGUCACAACGUAACUGGGUGAUUAUAAAGGAGCAUUACAGGUGUCUCCAAAGGUAGAUGUUGGGUUGGCGUAUUUCGAGAUUAGGAUUUGUCACUCCGAUUGUCGAAGAGGUAUCUCUGGGCCCUCUCGGUAAUACACAUCACAUAAGCCUUGCAAGCAUUACAACUAAUAUGGUAGUUGUGAGAUGAUGUAUUACGGAACGAGUAAAGAGACUUGCCCGUAACGAGAUUGAGCUAGGUAUUGGAUACCGACGAUCGAAUCUCGGGCAAGUAACAUACCGAUGACAAAGGGAACAACGUAUGUUGUUAUGCAGUCUGACCGAUAAAGAUCUUCGUAGAAUAUGUAGGAGCCAAUAUGGGCAUCCAGGUCCCGCUAUUGGUUAUUGACCGGAGACGUGUCUCGGUCAUGUCUACAUUGUUCUCGAACCCGUAGGGUCCGCACGCUUAAGGUUACGAUGACAGUUUCAUUAUGAGUUUAUGCAUUUUGAUGUACCGAAGGUUGUUCGGAGUCCCGGAUGUGAUCACGGACAUGACGAGGAGUCUCGAAAUAGUCGAGACGUAAAGAUUGAUAUAUUGGAAGCCUAUGUUUGGACAUCGGAAGUGUUCCGGGUGAAAUCAGGAUUUUACCGGGUUACCGGGAGGUUACCGGAACCCCCCGGGAGCCAUAUGGGCCUUCAUGGGCCUUAGUGGAAAGGUGAAAGGGCUGCCCAUAAGGGCUGCGCGCCUCCCCCUUCCCCUAGUCCUAUUAGGACUAGGAGAGGUGGCCGGCCACCCCUCUCCCUCUUUCCCCCUUGGGAAUCCUAGUUGGAAUAGGAUUGGGGGGGGGGGGAGUCCUACUCCCGGUAGGAGUAGGACUCCUCCUGCGCCCUCCUCCUGGCCGGCGCACCUCUCCCCCUUGGCUCCUUUAUAUACGAAGGUAGGGGGCACCUCUAUACACACAAGUUGAUCCACGUGAUCUAUUCCUUAGCCGUGUGCGGUGCCCCCUGCCACCAUAUUCCUCGAUAAUACUGUAGCGGAGUUUAGGCGAAGCCCUGCUGCUGUAGUACAUCAAGAUCAUCACCACGCCGUCGUGCUGACGGAACUCUUCCCUGACACUUUGCUGGAUCGGAGUCCAGGUAUCGUCAUCGAGCUAAACGUGUGCUCGAACUCGGAGGUGCCGUAGUUUCGGUGCUUGAUCGGUUGGAUCGUGAAGACGUACGACUACUUCCUCUACGUUGUGUCAUCGCUUCUGCAGUCGGUCUGCGUUGGGUACGUAGACAAUACUCUCCCCCUCGUUGCUAUGCAUUAUAUGAUCUUGUGUGUGCGUAGGAAAUUUUUUGAAAUUACUACGAAACCCAACACGUCUCUCCUCCCAUCUUCCAAAGCUAGCACCGGACCACUCAGAAGGACAUCUAUGGAGAGGAUGCAGCAGUGAAUCAGGCAGAUCGCCGGCGGUGACCAGGCAAAGUUAGCCAGGUUGAAGGAGAUCCUUAGUUGGUUUGACAAUGAGUGGGAGAUUUCGAGGACGGUGCGGGCCAUGUGGAAAUGUAUGCGAAAGAGCGAGACGACGGAGAUGAGGGCGGCGAUGUACAUGUACUCCUCGGCGGCAGUCACGCUGCAGUCCUCAGAGUUCAUCGAGUAUCACCUCUGGGCGAUGGAGCAGACAGAUUCGCCCGAGGCGACAGUCAGGCGGAGGUGGUGGGCGUACAUGUCGAAGGUCGAGCAACCAGAGGAUAACGAAUCGAUCGAGUACGGUGUGCCGUUCAUGAGGGUGCAGAGCCAGCCGGAGCCACAGGAGUAUUUGUUCUCCCACCGCAAGAGGAGGCCGGGUAGCGCGACGUCGCUUCCCUGCCGUUCUCCACGGUUCCCUCGAUGCUCGCCUCAUUUCAACGGUGGUGGUAGAGUUUAAGGUAAGCUUCACACUAACCUAAUCUUCCACCUGCUCAUGCUUACAAUCAGUGUGACAACUAAUGAAAAUCAUGCUUACAAUCAGUCUUCGAAUACUAAGCCAAUCGCCCUAAAAUAGCUCUGGACCUUUGGGUCAAAGUUGUGACACACUGUACAAAUAAAGAAAAAUAGAUUGGUGCUUCUUUCAGAAAAGAGUACUCCCUAGAAAACUGCCAAUAUAAGCUACUAGUAUUUGGUUAGAGGAUUUGUUGCCGAGAAAGAUCCGUCCACAGAGAGCGCCACACAUCUCACUAGUGGUGGUGGAUGCCAAUGCGUGCAUGCAGCAUGGUUGGUGUCGGUAAUGUUUACUUUGCACACCUCACACUCUUCAUAUAUGCCGGUUCCAUACGUACAUUUGUGCAGUUCCACCAAAAUGCAGCUGAAUAACCCUGUUUGCACAGAUAAUGAAAAAGCGUGAUUACAUUAUAGUGGCACUAGUUGAUGAAACACACAAAAUAAAUAGAAGAAAAUAUUGUGAUAGUAUCAUAGUAUGCCAUGCUGCAAGGGCGAGAUGGGCCCUGCGACGCCUCAUACGGUACGCCUCAUACUGGACAUUGUCCCAAGUCUCCCAGAUACACCUUGUGCCAGUGAUGAACAUCAAUGUACAUCGGUAGUACAAGGAGGUGCCUUGAGACAUUCAAAUCUCUAUUUUUGUACAUAUCAACUAAAAUUAAGCACCCUAGUUUGCAGAAACGCUUAAACAUUAACAAUGGGACUAGUUGAUGAAACAUACAUUAACAAAGAGAAGCACUUUCUUUAUCUACAUUGGAAAUGAAAUGAUAGAGAUGACACUCGCUCUAUUUUAACUGUAUUAUUACUUCAUUUUAUCAGUGACACUAGGGUUGAGCAGGUGGCAAACAAGGUGUACCGUGCGUCGCAAGGAUGGAGGCCGGGGGUGCUUAGACUGGGAUGCUGAAGCUGGCUCUUUCAGUCACCAACAUGGAUGAUUCAAUUCAUGGGACCUCUUGGUGCAGUCCAGCUUUGGUUCCAUUUCCAUCAGAAAAUGAAACCCACAGAGCUUCUUCUUCAUUAGUUGCAAUAAAAUUGAGCAACAUCAAGGUUGGUUGUGAAGCUCCUGGAAUGCUCAACUACAAUUUGGAUAUCAUUUGUGUAGUUCAACUAAGAUCGAGCGUGAAAUGUAUAUCUCUGUUUGCACAAAAAAGGUGGAAAGGAGGGUGACUAACAAGUGAUGAAACAUGCAUCAAAUGAAAAGAAGCAUGCUCCUUAUCUGAAUGGCAAUCCUACAAGGAAAGUAGUGCCGGUGUACUAGAGUAGGGGUACCCUAGUAUCCCGAACUUGUGCACGGGCAGUGGCAGCACCCCGCGGCAAGGCUUGCCGGGUGACCGCCAAGGUCCUCCAUGGUUCCUUUGGAGCCAUUCAAGAACAAAGUAUUCGAGCCAGGGAGACAAGGCCCUGGCAUGAGGAGCUUGCCGGGAAGGCCAACCAAGGCAUCUCAAGGAACUUGCCGCGACGCGCCACGCGUCCCGGCGAGGCCCGGUGAGCGACAAGCUUCCGGACGCGACAAGACAACGACCGCAGCAAGGCGCUUGCCGCGGCAAGCUACCACUCUGUACCCGCGCUCCAGCACAUCCACCAACGUGUCGCACUGGGGCCUUUCCAGGCGCACGUGGCAAGAGGCUGUGCAGCCAGUGGUGCGCGGUGGCAAGCGGCGCUGACAAGAUUGCCAUCGUGGCGAGCGAUGGCGUCCCUGACGGUCCCUUUUUGCACUAUUUGGGCGAUAUAGACGGGCAUUUAAUGCCUUUGUCCCCUGCCAUCAGGGUUAGGUAUGAUACAUUGUACAGGUAGUUGUACCAACCGCAAUUCCUUUUCCAUUUUUACCCUUGUCUACGUUGCCACCCGUCGGAGACCCCUUUAGCAUAUAAAAGGAGGCCCAUGCGCAACGUAGAGGGGGGUUCGAAGGCAGAAAAACACCCACGCUCGGUCUCUUUAGCAGCUAGUGUGUACUGUAGCACUCAGCGCUCCCGAGCAAGAACUCAAUACACUCAGACAUGCAGCAGUAGGAGUAUUAUCUCUCCAGAGAGCUCCGAAGCUGGGUAAACUGCUCGUGUGCUUCGCCUCGAUCCGCUCUUCGUGCGAUCUCUACCCCUCGCCGAACCGAAAGGGGCCCGGUCCGCCGGUCCCAUAGGUGUUCGUGGAUCAGCUUCCCCGACAUCCUUGGCGCGCCAGGUAGGGGGCGUUGAGGUUGUGUGAACCUGAUCCGGCGUUUGCACGAGCUAGAUCUUCAUCUUCUUCAUCGACAUGCCACCGAAGAAGAAGGCUUCGGCGGCAGCUGUUCCGUCCACGUCGAUCCCACCACCACCGGAGCAAACGGGUGGUGGGGUAGAUGCCGGCGGAAGAACGGGCAUCGACGAGGGAGCUCACGGUGCUGCCAGGUCCAAGGACAAGGCUGCGCAGACCUCGGCCUCCGUACAUGCACCGCGCCCAUCUCAGGAGGCGCAGGACCGACAGCGUCAUGGUAUUCGCACGGCCAUACGUUCGUUGGACCAAGAUCGAGCUGGUGGAUCUCGGGGUGCUCAAGACCAGCAUGCACGCCAACAUGCUGGCACGAGCAAGACACGGUCGCCUGGACGGGAUACUGCUCCUUCUAACAUAGUAAGAAGUCCGAGCAUAUCCCGCUCCUCGCACCGUUGGCCACUGCCGCCCACCACUCCAACAGAAGCUUUGGCACGAGCUCAACUGCUCCUGGAUUACCCUCCAACGGCAGACAAGAUCGAUGAAUGGAGGGCCACCAUUCAGAGUCUCAUCGGCUUCGCCAACGGCGACACUCCGCGGCAGCCGAGUACAUCGCUGCCGCGGCAGGACUGCCGGGCACGAGCCGAUGGCGACGAAACCGGUGGGGGUGCAACCACCAUGCACUCUCCACCCCGAAGUCCAAGAUCACCGACUCGCCGGAUCCACCUCGACAGCGACUCCACCGCAUCAUCAGAUCCACGAGCUCGUCGCGAUCAGCGCCAAGUUCUUCAUGAACGACAGCAAGAAGACGCUCGAACUCGCAUCGAGCGCUGAAGAGAAGCUCGACGUCAAUCGGACCAGCGUGCUGGGCCCUCUGUCGACGUGCAUGCACCAGGGGAACCAGGCGACUUGCCGUACGCGGUAGGUUGCCCUGCGUUCACUCGUGAGCUGCGGCAAGUCCAGUGGCCCAGCACGAAGAAUUUCAAGCCAGACGUACCAGAGAAGUACGACGGCAAGUCGCAUCCGUCGGAGUUCCUCAGCAUCUACACCAUCGCGGUGCAAGCUGCCGGGGGACGGGACGACAAGAUCCUGGCCAACUACUUCCCGCUGGUGCUCAAGCCCAAUGUCAGAUCCUGGCUCAUGCACUUGCCGAACAACUCCAUAUCCUCCUAGGCAGACCUAUGCCAUCAGUUUGUUGGCGCCUUUACAGGCGGCCACAAGCCUCAUGGCCAAGAGAGCGACCUUCAUCUGCUCGCCCAGAAGGAAGGAGAGCCCCUGCGCAAGUACAUUCAGAGAUUCAGCCGCGUACAGCACAACAUCCCAGAUGUCCACCCUGCCGCGGUAAUCAGCGCGUUCCAUCAGAACGUGCGAAACCGCAGGAUGUGGGAGGAGAUGGCGAUGUGCAAGAUCAGAGACGUCAGUGAACUAUAUGCCCUGGCCGACAAGUGUGUACGUGCUGAGGAAGGGAGGAAACUCCCCGGAGAGAAUACAAAAGCAGGAGGAUCUGAUAGUGAGGAGGCUGCCCCGGCAAAGAAAAACCGGCGGCAGAACAACAGGAAGAAGAAACACAAAGAUGUGCUAGUCGUUGAGCAGUCCGGCAACGGAGGUGGCGCCAAGAAAGCCAAAGCUGGUAGCUCCGGCGGGGAGACUGCCGCAGGCACCAACUA
rnacentral:lncRNA from 1 species